rnacentral:lncRNA from 1 species
CAGGAGGCAGCCAAGAAGGACUUCAUUGACAGCCUCAAGUUGAUGGAAGGAGAGCUCGGAGACAAACCUUACUUUGGGGGCGAGACCAUCGGCUACGUUGAUAUAGCACUUGUUCCUUUCUAUUCCUGGUUUUAUGCCUAUGAGACCAUCGGAAACUUCAACAUAGAAGCCGAGUGUCCGAAGCUGAUUGCUUACUGUAAGAGGUGCUUGCAGAAAGAGACUGUAUCCAAGGCUCUUGAAGAUCCACAAAAGGUCUAUGAUUUCGUUCUGAUGCUGAUGAAGACGUUUGGUCUUUAGUAGAAGAAAGAACAACAUGCAGAGGCAUGUUCCCUUUCCUGUUAAGAAGUUGUUCUUGUGUUCUGAGUGAUUUAUGUUUUAAAUAAGGAGGGCAGACAGUUGUGCCUGCCUUGUGUUUCUGGUCUGAGAGGGCACUUAGCUGUGCCUGCCUCGUGCUUAUAGUCUGAGAGGGCACCUCGUCGUGCCUGACUUGGGAUGUGGUUUUCUCCCUGUAAAGUUGAACUUAAGUCGGUGAUUAUGCUAUAAUAUGUAUUAAUUAAUGAAACUUGUGUCAAGAACUGGUUGGCGGUGAACAACUUCCUGCAACUUUUAUUCUUUUUCUCCAAGCUGCAUUCAUGAUCACUGAUCAUCCUGCAAAGGAGCUGCAGGCUGUGACUCAUCAGGCCUUGUGUAUUUUGGUCAAAGGUCCAUUGACUUGGGCUGCCUGCCAAUGCUGCACAUGCUAGCAAGUUUUGAGCAUCUGGUAUUGUGGCUGCAGGUAAUCCUCACCUGCAGCCACAAAUAUUGUUAUUAGAUAAUGCUUUAAAAACAAUUUUUUACUAGUAGGGUCCUCUACCAAUCAUGACCGUGCCACAGGUUUACAAGAAGCUUUGUUGUUUUUUGUGCUGUGAAAAUUUAGUGGGUUCCACUGUUCAUGGUUUUUUCGAUGAAAAUUAGAGUAUAUUUUUACUGUUUUGGCCAACCAGUAUUCAAAACUAAAAAUACAUUACACUAGAAAGUUUUGGAUAUUCAAUGAAUAUUUAUUAUGUAUUAUUAUUUAUUAAUCAAUACAAACAAAAUAGUAAUUAUAUAUAUUUGAAGCAUGUAUACAUAUAUUAAAUGAUAAAAUAAUAAAUAUUAUUCAUAUAUAUAUAUAUUAUGCCAAUAUUAAAGUGUGUAUAUAUUAUAUUAAAAAAAUUAAAUAUUCUGCCACCAUAUUUAUAUAAUUUAAAUAUAUGAUUAAAAAAUUAAGUUGAGACGAAUUUUAAAUUGUGUUUUAUAAUAUUCUAUCUUAUUUAUUAUUUAUUAAAUCUAGAAAAUAUCCAUCAAUUUCAUAUAAAUAUUCAUCUAUUUUAUUAUAUUAAAUCAUAAUUUUUAAACCCAGCUCGGUCCAAGGCCUGAGUUUUGACUGGGUUAUUGAGUUGCUCGCGUCAAUUUUUUUUUAAAUCAAACCGGCAUUAUUUUGAUAAAAAAAAAAUUCAACGGAUUGCAAUCCGGUUUUUAACUGGAUCUUGCUAGGUUAACCUGCCAGAUCAUACCGAGUUUUUUUUUUUCAAUCCAAUCCAAUUUUUAUUCUGGAUAUGCUAGGUUCGACCCGCCAAACCAGAACGGAUUUCACAAUAAUAGAUUAAAUUAUCUUCCAUGUCCAGAAAAACUGAUAAAUGUCCCUAACAUUCUAUCCCGAACGCUACAACCAUAGACAGCUCGAAAAAAAAAACCAACAAUGUAGUGCGUGGCAACCCAGAAGCCGCUCAAUCAACGAGUGUCAAUCAAUCCACCACGUUGAUCUUUGGCAAACUUUAAUUAUACCUAUUCAUUUGAUUGUUAUUAAAUCCGGUGUAAUAGCUUAAUUUAAGAAACCGAAACUUAAUUUAUAUUGGGUUUUAAAAUACACCGAAAAAAGGGGUUAAUUUAAUGAUUCCUAAAUUAAUCUAAUAAUUUAGUAACUUAGAUUUAUUUUUAAAUUACCAAAAGCUAAAACACGAAACCAAAAAAAAGAAAAAAGAAAAAACUGUAAACCGUAAGUUUAAAACAUUAUUCACAUAAAUAAUGUUUUCACGGUAUUAGCCUUCCCUCUAAAAAGCUUUAAACUAGUCAUAAGAAUUAAUUUUUUUUGCAAUACUUAUUAAUCAUUAUCAAAUUAAUCAGGAAUAAAAAUAACUUUUUUUCAUUUAAAAAAACACAAUAAAAUGAUCAAAAUACUUUUAAAAAUAAAAAAAAUUAAAAUUAUUGUCAAGGAGUUUUUUAUUUUAUCUUUUCACCAUGUUUUUUUUUUUUGUAUUAUCAGGUCAUAUUAGAGGCAAUCUGGUAUUUAAAUAAAUAUUAAAAAAAUUGUUGGCUCGCGUGGCGCUUUUUGGAAGCCAAAAUCCUACUUUUACUGAUUGAUUGAAAGUGUCGUUGUAUCCUCUUUCUUCUGAAGCAGCACAUAUGGUCAUUGGUAGCAUAGUUUGUCAUCGACACUUUUUUUUUCUUUUUUUUUUCUUUUUUCUCUCUUCUACGGUCAAAGUUUGCGAUGGUCAUGCAAAGUUUUAGAGUUGUCCUCUAAUUUAUGAGGAUUUCCACUUCAAUUCUUAUUCUUUUGAUUUUUAAUUUUUGUUUUUGGUCUUUUAAAAAAAAAUUGAUUUGUUUUCAAUUUCAUUCUUUAAUAAAAUUUAUUGUGUUUCAAUUUGAUCCUUAUUCUUUUAAUUGCUAUUUUUUUAAUCUUUUUGUAUAAUUAAAAUUAUAUUUUUGAAUGUUAUCAUUCAUAAUUUGAUUGGUUGAAAAUUAAAUUUCUUGGUUUUUACCAGAUUUGCUGUUUUCGGUAUAAUAUUUUGGUCAUAAAUUUGAAAAGUUAAUAUGGUUUAAUAUUUUCUUUUAAAAAAUUAAGAUUUGUGAUUUUUUUUAUUAAAUUAUCUUGAUCUCAUAAUUUAGAUUAUAAGUUUGAUGAGAUAAUCCAAGAAAGAUCAUUGCAUGAAUGUUAUUCUAAAGACAAGAAAUAGAAUCCUAGGAAAGGACUAGACUUGACAAAUGUUUGAUAAAUUUGAACCAGAUUAAGAGCCUGCUUGGGAUUUGGUUAUAAGUUGAGCUAAUAUACACAAUGGAGAACAAAGUUUGAUUAAGUAAAAGGAAGAUUAGAAUACAUAAUAGAAACAGUUCAGAGUUGUCAAAAGAAACAAAUACGAUAUGUGAAGAAAUGAAAAAGAGGACUUGAAGUCACAUAUCCUUAGAAUAAAAAAGAAUAAAGAAGAUGGGUGAUUACCAUACAAUUUACUAUAUAUUUUUCUAUUUAAAAAAAAUGGAAGAAAAGAAAACACAUAACAACAACUUAACAAAUCAACAUCAAAUGCAUUAUAGUUUGAUUAAGUUUGUAAUAACUUCAAAACCUAUUUACUAGUAGAUAGUUACUAGCAGGCAGUAAAUAAUAGGUAGUAAUUUGUAUGCAAGUAACCAAUAGACAAUAAAUAAAAGGCUUGUAAUCCAAUUUUUAUUAUCAAAAGAAAACAAGAAAACAACAAAAAUAUAACUUCAUAUUCUUUUAUCAAGACAUUCAAGUAUGUGGUUAUAAUUAAAAUAAAGAUCAUCCAAUGAAUCUAAAUCUUAUAAUUUUUAAAUAUUAAAUUUUUUAUUUACAUUCAAUAUGUUAAAUUAAUAUUUAAUUACUUCUUGAGUAUUAAAUUAUAUUUGAGCAUUAUUAUAAAUCUAGGUUCGUCGUGAGAUCUAAAAUUUUAAGUUUUUAUUUGCGCUAUAAAAUUGAUGAGACAAACACAAAAUAAAAUCUUAUUUUUAUCUUUCUUGUGCAUUGUAUAACAAUCAUUAUCAAAUUAAAUAGACGUUGUUUGAAUAAAAAGUUCUUUUCAAAAAAAAAAAAACAUCAAAUCAAAGUUUUGGAACCACUUCAAUUGAUUUUUAAGAUCCAGGGUCAUUUUCAUUUAACAUCGUAAAAUUUAAAUAAUUUUAAUUACAAAGGUUUUUUAAUUAAAAUUUAAUUGAUGGUUUCGUAUUUCCUUGAUUGAAUCAAAUUUUAAUUAUAUAAGUUGUGCCUUAAUAAAUAAAUAAAAGAAAUAUGAGGUUCUGGUUGUUAAUUAACAAAACGUUCAACUCUCAAGGAGUGAAUUGUAAUUUAUCCUAUGCCUUCUAUUCAUUAUACAUUAUUUAUUAUACAAUAAACAUAAAAGAAAGCGUAAUUUCACGUUAUUGUUUACUCUAUAAACAUUAAAAUAAUAUUUCAUUUUCUUAAUAUGAUAUUAAAUGUGUGUAUAUUUGCAUGUUGAAAAGGAAAAAGUUGAUAUGGAUUUUAAAAAAAAUACUUCCAAAAUAAUCCUAAUAUAUUAUACUUGAAAUUUAACCUCUUAGGUGGUAAACUUAGUUUCAUUUUAGUUCUUGUUUGUUUGCGGGAAAAUAUUUUUUUUUGAAAAGUGAUUUAAUGAAAAAUAAAUUAGUUUUGGAUGUUUGGUAGUUUUAUAAAAAAGAAGUUGGAAAAUACUUUCUAGUAUUUGGUUAUGUCAUGAAAAAUAAGUUAGAAAAUAACUUAUUAAUUUUUUUUUUUCAAAUUUACUAAAAUAAUGAGAAACAAAUCUUACAAAUUAAAAAAUUGAAUGUGAAUAAAAUUGAAAGAAAAAUCUAAUUUCAUAAAUUAUCUUAAAUAAAAUAAAUAACAAUCAAAAUAAUUGAAAUUAAAUCUAACAAAUAAAAAAGUCGAAAGACGAUGAAAUUAAAAUAAUAAUAAUUAUUAUAAUUUUAUAAAUGAUUUAAAAUUAAAUAAAUAUAAAAAGAAUAAGAAUAAGAAAAAAUUUUGAUAGAUAAAAAAUUUCAAUUAAAAAAAUAUUAAGAGAAAAGUAAAUAACAAUCAUAAAAAUGAAAACUAAAGUUAAUAUAAAAAUCAGAUUAAAUCAAAUUUUAAGGGAUGAAAUUGAAAAAAUAUAUUAAAAAAAUAUAUAUAGCAAUCAAAAGUUUGAGAAUCAAAUUUGAUAUAAUUAACAAAUAAUAUGAUAUUUUUAAUUUUUUCACAACUUCUGGAAAAUAUUUUCUGCCCAAAAUAAAAAAAUUAUUUUUUGAAAAACCAAGUUAAAUUAUUUUAACUAAACAAUAUUUUUCAUUAAUUAAUUUUUUUAAUAAUAAACAAACAUAAAAAAAUAUAAAAAAUAAUUUUCAAAAACUCACUUUACACAAACCGGCCUUGAUAACUGGGUGGAAUACUUUCGGUCGUGAAUGUCUUUUCAUGCUACGAAACAUUAUUCUAAAUAUAAAUAUUUUUGCUCACUUAUUUACUAAUAUCCUUGAUUAGCCUAUAGCUUGGCAACUUAUUCCACGAUUUAUCACAACCACAUACACUCUGCAGAUGAAGAUAGCAAGUCUGAUAUAAAGUCUUGCUUUCUACUUUUUAUGAUCUUAAUUGCCAUAUUUUUUUUCACUUCAACCAUGGCUGAUGAGGUGACACUGUUCAAUUUCUGGGCAAGUAUGAGUGCAGUGAACAGGACUUGAGCAACGGAAAGAGUGAUUUGCUUCUGCAGAUGAACCCAGUCUACAAGAAGAUUGCAGUUCUCGUCCACAGAGGAAAACCAGUUUGUGAAUCCCAUAUUAUUGUUCAGUAUAUUGAUGAUGUGUGGAGGGACAAGGCUCCUUUGCUGCCUUCUGAUCCUUAUGAAAGAGCUCAGUCCAUGUUCUUGGCUGAUUUUAUUGAUAAAAGGGUAUGGAGAUAUGCCUUUAAUCUUGCUAAAUCUCGGGCCCCCCUUCGAUACAUGCAUCCAUGCUUGCGUGAGGACAAAUAUAUAUUCCUUUGCUACUGCUAUGUUACAGUAAUAUCAAUUAGGUGCUGUAAAAAUGAAUUCCCAGAUAUUAUUUCAAAAUGUUUUUAUGCUAUAUUCACAGCACUUCUUGUUAUUUUCCUUGUUGUUUUUGCAUCCAUGUAAAAGGAAUUAAAGAAUGGCCAAACAAAUGAAAAUUGCAACUGGAGUCUCCUCUGUACCACCCGACAAUGCCAAGCUUUCUGGGCAGAAGCAGCUGUAAAGUCUAAGAACUUUUAGUUUUUUUGUCAGAGUAAAAAGAACACAAGAUAUUAGUUUCAAAGCUUUAAUUUCAUGGGAAGCACAUUAAUUAUCAUAGGCUUCGUUAUGCUACACAGUGUAAACUGUAAACUGUGCUUCGUGUGAAUUAAAAAAUAUAUUAGUUCUAAAGCUUUUUCAUGCGAAGAACCAUUUGCAUCACAGAAGCACUGCGUAGUACUGUUCUCCACUAGCAAUCUGGUCUUGGUUUAAGAAAAGACCAUCAACAAAUAGAGAAUUGAAAAUCUGCAUUUUAUUUAUGCUUUAAUAAAACUAAGGCUCCGUUUGUUUGCAGGAAAGUGAAUUCCGGAGAAAAUAUUUUCUGAUGUUUGGUAGUGUUAUGGAAAAUGAACUGGAAAACAUUUUCCAGUGUUUGGUUAUGUCAUGGAAAAUGAGCUGGAAAAUAACUUAUUAAUAUUUUAUUUUUCUCAAGUUUAUUAAAAUAAUGAGGAAUAAAUCUUACAAAUUAAAAAGUUGAAUGAGAAUGAAAUUGAAAAAAAAAAAUAUAUAAUUUCAUAAAUUAUCUCAAAUAAAACAAAUAAUAAUCAAAAUAAUAGGGAUCAAAUCUAAAAAAUUAAAAAAAAAUGAAAAAUGAAGAAAUUAAAAUAAUAAUAAUCAACAUUUCAUAAAUUAUUUCAAAUAAAAUAAGUAACAAUCAAAAAGAAUGAGGAUCAAAUUUGAUAAAUAAAAAAUUUCAAUAAAAAAAUGAUAAGAAAAAAGCAAAUAGCAAUUAUAAAAAUAAGGGCCAAAGUUAAUAUAAAAAUAAAAUUUUAAGAGAUGAAAUUGAAAAAUAAAUAUUUAAAACAAAAUAUAUGUAGCAAUCAAAAGUUUGAGGAUCAAAUUUGAUAUAAUCAGCAAAUAAUGACAUUUCUAAAAUUUUCAUAACUUCCGGAAAGUGUUUUCCCCCUUAAAUUUUUCAGGAAAACACUUUCCUGAAAACCAAGCCAAAUUUUCCUUUUACUGGAAAGUGUUUUCUAUUGACCAACUUUCCUACUGGCAAACAAACACAAGAAAGUUUGGAAAGUGCUUUCCCGGAAACCACUUUCCGGAAAACAAACACAGCUAAAAGGAAAACACUUUCCUGAAAACCAAGUCAAUUUUUUUUUUGACUAAAAUUGAUUGGAAAGUGUUUUCCGUUGACCGGAAAGUGUUUUCUGUUAACUAGAAAGUGUUUUUCGCUGACCGGAAAUUAUUUUUCGUUGACCAACUUUCCUAAUAACAAACAAACACAGAAAAAUUUAAAAAAUAGUUUUUCAAAAACUACUUUUCAAAAACAAACAAGGCAUAAGCCACUCUGAAUUCCAACCCUUCCAUCUGCAUUCUCCUGUCUUAUCAAUGGAAGGAGUCUCCACCUUCCUAGGCAUACCCCACCCAAAGAAACCGUAGCCGUAAACUCUGCAAGCACUUCUUUGGCUUCAUCAAGAACAAUAAUUUGAUGUUCAAAAAUGAUUGCAAGUUUUUUUUUAAAAAAACGUUUCGAGCCCUGAUUUGGUUGUUUCCACAUUCGAGCUUCCCGUCACUCUGACACAUGGACCCAUGGCAAAAACAAAUCGUGUAUAAAUUGACUUGAAAUUACCAAAGUUAUCCUUAGUUUUCUUUGGGCAAAACCUGAUAAAGUUUCAAAUCUAAGGACACAACCUCGAUUAGGUUUCCAAUAUUUUCAUUUUCUCAAUUUGGUUUCAAAUAUAUCUAUAAAUUUUUAAUUUGAAUAAAUUGAAGUAGAUUGAAAACAAAAUUUAUAUAUUAAAUAAUUGAUUAAUUUUAUUAUUUAGAUAAUCUAAUUCAUUCCCUCUAACUAAGAUAAUUGGUAAUAAAGAUCUAGUAUCCGCAAAAAAGUUUUUUUAGUGAAUUAAUGAAUUUUUUUAUGCUUAAAUUAAAAAAAAUUACCAUGAUAUUUUAAAAAAAACCUCAAAAAAUAUUUAUAUACAUUGGACUUUGCAUUUGGUUUAGUCUAAAAAAAUUGAGUUUAAUAAAUCAUCAGACCAAUAUAUAAUUAGAUUUAAUGCUUGAAAGCUUGGAAGAACUGGUAUGAUAAAUUGUUAUACUCUUUUCAUGUAGAAAGUAUUUUUAAAUUGUGAACCCUAAAUAUAAGGAAAGGAAAUUAAGAAAGUAGAUGUUUUUUUAUAGGAAAGAGAAAUCACCAGUUUCAUGAAAUGAAUAUUAAAUAGUUUUAUUAACUAGAAAAUGAUGAAAGGAUAUAAUUUAGAAUCCAUUGAUAUAUAUGUUGAAAAACUAAUUUAGAUGAGAAAUAGAUUGGAUAUCUAAUUAAGAUUUUUCAUAUAAGUUAGGGAUUUAAUUUACAAGGUUUGCACUCUCCCUUAUAUAUGCUCUUAACCAAUUUACCAACAUAAUAAUUUCAAUUUCUUUUGAUAUAUAUUUUUGAACUAAAAGUAUAAAAAGAUUAAAUACAAUCCUAAUCAAAGAUAGUUUGUUGGCAAGAUUAUUGCUUUAAAUAAUAAUAAUACUAAUAAUAAAAUCACAUAAGAAAUACUCUCGUUAUCAUAUAUAUUUUAUUUUCUCAACACAAUCCCCUUAAUAAAAUUGAUCGUACAUAAUAUGAUUUCCGGUUAUAAUUUCUCAAAUUUAUGAAUAAUUAUCUCAUUUUGUCAGGGGUAAUUAACUCUGAGAUUUCCUUGUCUAUUUUUCAGGAAUCAUUGACUGGAUGGCGUGAUUUAGUUGAAGACGUAGAAAGGAACAAACAUGAAACUGUGAUAUGGUAUCUAAUUGCCCCCUGGGCAGUACGAGCACAGCACAUUUUCCACUUCUUUAUUUCUACCACAUCUUUCUGCAAGGAUGGAUAUGCUAUAAAGAUUUCUACUCUCCACUGUCAAGAGCACAGCCAUUCUGAAAGGCGAGAAAGAACUAUCUGUGGUUCAGUUUUACUCCUUUUCACAACAACAAUGGCUGAUAAGGUGACACUAGCGCUGGAACAUUUUGCAGGCUCCCCUUUUGGUGUAAGAGUGAGAAUAGCAUUGGCAGAGAAGGGAGUCAAGUAUGAGUACUGUGAUGAGAACUCGAGGGUCGAUAGUGCAUGGCUUCUUGAUCUGAACCCAGUCUACAAGAAGCGCCCACUUCUCAUCCACAAUGGAAAAGCUGUCUGUGAUUCCCUGAUUAUUGUUCAGUACGUUGACGAAGCAUGGAAGGGAAAGGCCCCUCUUCUGCCUUCCGAUCCUUACCAGAGAGCCCAGUCCAGAUUCUGAUUUUAUUGACAAGAAGGUACGUACGUAUGCAUGGGAACUGGACUUUGCAAGGUCUUUUGUUCUAGGUGCUGUUUAGUCCGCUUUACAAUAUACUGUGCUAUGAAUCUUAUUUCAGGUAUAUGAGAUACUUGGAAGAUAUGGACAACGAAUGGAAAAGAACUGGAGGAGCAAAAAAGGAUUUUAUCGAGUGCCUCAAGCUGCUGGAAGAGAGCUCGGAGACAAGCCUUAUUACGGCGGAGAGAAGCUUGGGUAUGUGGAUGUGGCGUUCGUUCCUUUCUACUGCUGGUUUUAUGCCUAUGAGAAAUGUGGAAAAUUCAACAUAGAGGCAGAGUGCCCCAAGAUCAUUGCAUGGGCUAAGAGAUGCAUGCAAAAGAAGAGUGUAUCCAAGUCUCUUGAAGACCCAAAAAAGGUGUACGAGCACGUCUUGGAGCGCAGGAAGACGCUUCGGGUGGAUUAAGAGGAAACACAAAUGCAUCCCUGAGCAGACGAUCAGUAUGAUUUCCUCAUGGUGGAGUUGUUUUUCUUUCGAAUAAAGCGAGCUCUUCGUGGCUGUGCCUUCUCUUCUGUUGUUUCUAUUGUGAUGCUGGAGCAUAGGAGCACAUCGUUGUGACUCGGCCUGGCAGCGUUUGUGUUGUUUUCGGCUCUUUGCCCUGUCUUGUUGUACUGUUUUCACUAUUUAUUAAAAUAAUGUGUUGUGAUUAUUUUACUGGUAGAUGAUUAUGAUAUCUUUAGAACACGGUUGUUUCAUUAAAAUUUUUUUUAAAAAAUUAUUUAAAUUUUACUUUUUUAUAUUUUUAGAUUAUUUUAAUAUAUUAGUAUUAAAAAUAAUAUUUAAAAAUUACUAUUACUGUAUUUUUAAAUGCACUCUAUAACAAAAGAGAUGCCCUCUCAAGCAAUUCAACACCCCCCAUAACUUUUUUUUAAUAAAUAGGAAAGACAGGACAAGUACACAAUGGUAAUCAAUUACUAAUUCUAUCCAAUUAAUUUUGCCUUUUCAAAUGAAAAUUUUUAAUUUUUUUAAGUUUUUAAUUAAUUUUUUUAUGUUUAUAAAUUGUUUAACCAUACUAAUAUUAAAGAUAAAAUUUAAAUUAUAAAAUAAAAAUAUUAUUUAUAUAAUUUUAAAUAAAUAAUAUUUAUCACAUGAGUAAUAGUUUUGAUAACUUUCGGUGAGAUGUGAUAAUUGAGUUGAGAAUAUUAAUUAUAACUUGAUUAAAUAUAUUAUAUUUUUUAAUAUAUUUUUUUUUAUGUAAUUUUACUAGAAAUUUAGUUUUACUGCUCAGGUGUUGCUCUUCAUAAAUUUAAGAAUUUUUAAAUAUAAAGAUCAUCCAAUGAAAUAUCGUAAUUUUUAAAUAUUAAAUUUUUUUUUUUACAUUAAUUUCGUAUGUUAAAUUAAUAUUUAAUUACUUUUUGAGUAUUGAAUUAUAUUGUAACAUUAUUAUAAAUCUAGAUUCGUGGUGAAAAUCUAAAAUUUUAAUUUUUUUAUGUAUGUUAUAAAAUCCUCUUAUAAAUUAGACAAACACAAAAUAAAACCUUAUUUUUAUCAUCUUUGAACACUGGAUAACAAUCAUUAUUAAAUCAACUAGACGUAUCUUAAUUUAAGACAAGUUUUAAGGAGGGAGUUAGAGAUUUUUAUUUUUAUUUUUUCCUAGAGCCCAUUGAGGAUUGGAGGAUAAUUAGAGAUAAACUAGAUGCCAUGCCUGUGUGAUGUUACGGGUUUGUGAUAUUUCUGUGUGUUGUUAUGGGUUUGUGUAAAAAAUAAAAAAAAUAUUAUAUGGAGAAAAACUAUUGCAAUCUAUAAUGUUUUUAAAGAAAAAAUUACAAAAAAAUUCUUAACUAGAUUAAUAUUUAAAAAGUAAAAUGAACAAAGAAAUUUUUUUAAAAAAUCAUAACAAAAAAACCUAAAGGAAAAAAAAUCAUCAUGCAGGAAAACGUUAUAGCAAUUUAUAGUGUUUCAUGAGAAAAUCUACAAUUGUAAUUCUCAACCAGCUCAAUAUUAAAAAUAAUAAAAUUAAUAAAGAUAAUUUUAAAAAAAUCAUAAUAAAAAAAAUUAUGUGGAGAAACAUUGUCGCAAUUCACAGUGGUUUAAAGAAAAAAAAACUAUAAAACUAAAUUCUUAACUAGCUCAAUGUGAAAAACAUAAUUGACAAAGACAAUUCUGGAAAAAAAAACCAUAUGUAGGAACACUAUAGCAAUCCAUGGUGUUCGGAAAGAAAGAAAGAAAAAAGCAUGUAAAGCCAAAAAUAGGGGGAAAAAGAAAAACUACAAAACUAAAAUUUCAACCAGUUUCAUAUUAAAAAAAUAAAAACAAUUCUGAAAAGAAAACAUUAAAAAAAUUGAAAAGAAAAACAUUUUGGGAAAAAAGAAAGAAAAAAAAAUGAAAAAAAAAACAUGUGGAGAAAUCUACAGUUGUAAUUAUCAACCAACUCAAUAUUAAAAACAAUUCGACAAAAAUAAUUUUGAAAAAAAAACAUAUAGGAAACACUGUAGAAAAACAAAAACUAUGUAGAGAAAUAUUGUAACAAUCCAGUGUUUUAAAGAAAAAAACUACGACACAAAAUCAACAAAAAUCAUUUUGAAAAAAAAAAUCAUGUAAAUAACCGUUGUAGUAAUUCAUAAUAUUUUAAAUAAAAAAAACUUUAAAACUAAAUUUUUAACUAGUUUAAUAUUAAAAAAAAUCGAUAAAAAUAACUAUGGUUGAAUGCUUUUGGUCGUGAAUAUCUUUUCAUGCUCUGAAACAUUAUUCUAAAUAUACUGUUUGCUUACUUUUUUAUUAAUAUCAUUGAUUAGCCUAUAGCUUAGUAACUUUUUCCACGAUUUAUCACAACCGCAUACACUCUGCAGAUGAAGAUAGCAAGUCUGAUAUAAAGUCUUGCUUUCUACUAUUUAUGAUCUUAAUUGCCAUAUUUUUUUUCACUUCAACCAUGGCUGAUGAGGUGACACUGUUGAAUUUCUGGGCAAGUAUGAGAACAGUGAACAGGACUUGAGCAACGGAAAGAGUGAUUUGCUUCUGCAGAUGAACCCAGUCUACAAGAAGAUUGCAGUUCUCGUCCACAGAGGGAAACCAGUUUGUGAAUCCCAUAUUAUUGUUCAGUAUAUUGAUGAUGUGUGGAGGGACAAGGCUCCUUUGCUGCCUUCUGAUCCUUAUGAAAGAGCUCAGUCCAUGUUCUUGGCUGAUUUUAUUGAUAAAAGGGUAUGGAGAUAUACCUUUAAUCUUGCUAAAUCUUUGGUCCCCCUUCGAUACAUGUAUCCAUGCCUGCGUGAGGACAAAUAUAUAUUCCUUUGCUACUGCUAUUUAUGUUACUGUAAUAUCAAUUAUGUGCUGUAAAAAUGAAUUCUCAGAUAUUAUUUCAAAAUAUUUUUAUUUACUUUUACGAUUUAUUACAACCACAUACACUCUGCAGAUGAAGAUAGCAAGUCUGAUAUAAAGUCUUGCUUCUGCAGAUGAACCCAGUAUACAAGAAGAUUCCAGUUCUCGUCCACAGAGGAAAACUAACCAGUUUGUGAAUCCCUUGUUAUUCUUCAGUACAUUGAUGAUGUGUAGAGGGACAAGGCUCCUUAAUUUGCUACCUUCUGAUCCUCAUGAAAGAGCUCGGUCCAUGUUCUGGGCUGCCUCGUGUGUUUCUGGUCUGAGAGGGCACUUAGCUGUGCCUGCCUCGUGCUUAUAGUCUGAGAGGGCACCUCGUCGUGCCUGACUUGGGAUGUGGUUUUCUCCCCGUAAAGUUGAACUUCAAGUCGGUGAUUAUGAUAUAAUAUGUAUUAAUUAAUGAAACUUGUGUCAAGAUCUGGUUGGCAGUGAACAACUUCCUGCAACUUUUGUUCUUUUUCUCCAAGCUCCAUUCAUGAUCACUGAUCAUCCUGCAAAGGAGCUGCAGGCUGUGACUAGGAAGUUUUGAGCAUCUGGUAUUGUGGCUGCGCAGCCACAAAUAUUGUUGUUUGGUAAUGGUCUAAAAACAAUUUUUUACUGGUAGGGUUUAUUAGCAACUCUAGCUAUGCUACAUAUUUACAAGAAGCAGUUUUUUAUUGUUUUUGUGCUGAGAAAACCCAUGAAUAAUGAAGUAUGGCUUUACUGUUCAUGGGUUUUCUUCAAUAAACAGUGGAGCAUGCCUUCACUGUUCCAGCUGGAUCAGUCCGAUUCAAAACUAAAAAUACAUUAUACUAGGUUUUGACCCAACAAAAUAAAAAAUAUUUUUUUUUAUUUUUAAUUAUAUUUUAUUUGAAAAAGUAGUGUUAAAUAUUAUUUAAUGACUCUACAUAAAUUAGACAGAGAUCGCUUGGUGACAUAUCAUUUGAAGAAUUUGAUCGCAAUUUCAAUUUUGUUCUUGAUUAUAUUUUACCUGAUGUUGUUGUGCUCUUAAGAAAUUUGUGAGAAUUAUAGUUCUUGUCGGAUGUAUUUCAUACGUGAUGGAAUUAUAGAUAGUUUAAUGAAAAAAUAAAAAAUAUUUUAUAUAAACUAUUAUUUAUUUCAUGAUGUAAUAACAAUAGUCAAAUCAACAAUAUUUAAAUUAAAAAUCAUUAAUAUUAAUAUAUAUUUUUUAAAAAUUAUUUUAUAACAUCAAUUUCAAAAGCAUUCUUAACCAAACACAUUAAACUAUUUUUUGUUCAACCUCAAUUUCAACUACAGUUUUAACCAAACAUAUAUUUUUCCAAACCAACUUCAACUAAAAGUACUUUUUAUAAAACAACUUUUUUCAAAUCACAAUAGUUACCGCAAUACCAAAUACACCCGAACUUCAAGGCACUGCAGGUAGGGCAGCCCUAUGGAGCAUAUCUGGAACGCGGUGCAAAUCAUGUUCUCUUAAAAUUUAAUUUUUAUUUUAUUUUUUUGCAUAAAAUAAAUUUGUUUUAAUUAAUGCAUGUUUUCAUAUUGUUUUGAUAUGUCGAUAUUAAAAAUAAUUUUUUAAAAAUAAAAAAUAUUAUAAUAAUAUAUUUCUAAUCGAAAAUCACUUUGAACCGUAUUGCUAUUAUAAUAAUAUAUAGACGCAUAGUUUUCUUCCGAAUUUCAUUUUCUUGUCGAGAAGCCAUUUCUACUUCGUAAAUGAAAUCUUUGAAUUUUAGCAAUCUAAUUCUUCCAGCAAAACUUGCAGGUUAUCAUCCAUGGAAAUUCUUUGCAUGAAAACUAGACAAAUUUAAUGUCUUUAGAUGUAAUUAAAUUCCUUAACUUUUUUUUAAUAAAAAAUGACGCAUGGCAAAAACAUUAAAGCUUGAGUAAAGAAUAUAAAGUAUAGUUCCAAUAAACAAAACGUACAACUCUCAAGGAGUGAAUUGUAAUUUAUCAUAUAUGCCUUCUAUCCAUUAUACAUGAUAUAUUAAUUAUACAAUAAACAUAAAAGAAAGCGUAAUUUCACGUUAUUGUUUACUCUAUUAUAUAUAUAUAUAUAUAUAUAAAAUAUAUAUAUUAUAUAUAUAUAUAUAUAUAUAUAUAUAGACACACACACACUAUUAUGGAAUGUUAUUAUGUAUAUAUAUCUAUCUUGUAUUUACCAUAUAUAGGUUUCUGAUCAUGUGUAGGAUACCACAUGGUUAGUAUCAUGUACAACCCUACAUCUAUAUAUAUAUAUAUAUAUAUUACAUAAGGGGAGUGCUGUAGAUAUUGAACACAACCUCCACAAUAUUCUCCAAUUCUCAUUCUCCUUUAACUUCAACUUGGUAUCAGAGCAUUAUACUGAAAAGUGUUUCCAUCGGCGCCUUCCUCUUCUUCUCAUGGAUUCUACAGCAGCACAAUCUUCUUCUCUUCUUACAGCAAACAUGUCAGCUGCAACAUCCUCUGUUCUCCCUGCUAAUUCUUCACAUAUGCAACCUACGUCAGGUUUUUCAACAGCUCCUCCACCUGGAUUUUUUGCGUCUGCACUUCCCUCUCUUGGAUGCAGCUUUCCUCUCACAAUGGCAACAAUACCUUCCUCUGCACCAAUUGUUUCGGUACUUCCUGGACUCCCCUCUGCAGCGUCAAUUAUUCCUAACACACAUCUUCAUGGUGCUGCCGUAGUCCCUCUCUCAAAUACUCAUUAAGUUAUCUCCUUGAAACUGACCACCAAUAACUAUUUAUACUGGAGAAUGCAAAUAAAACCAUAUUUGUUGGGUCAAGGUGUGUAUGCUUUUGUGGAUGGAUCCUAUCCUUGUCCUGCACUCUACGUUACUGCCACCGAUACAGCAGCUGCUGGUAUAAAUCCAUUCUUUCUCUCAUGAAAGCAGCAAGACCAAUUAAUUAUGAGUGCACUCCUCUCUUCUUUAUCUACUGAAAUUCUACAUCUUGUGGUUGACUGUGACACAUCUUAUAGCAUAUGGCAGACACUUGAAAAAUCCUUUGCUUCAUCGUCACAUUCAAGGAUUAUGCAGUUACAUGGUUCUUUGUUAAAAGAAUUGUCCGGUACCUUCAAGGCACGACAUCUUAUGGUCUACACAUCACUCAGGGGUCCUCUCUUUCCUUACAUGGUUUUACAGAUGCUGAUUGGGCUGGUAGUCUUGAUGACAGAAAAUCCACCAGUGGCUAUUUGGUAUAUCUUGGCAGCACACCUAUUUCUUGGAAGUCUGGCAAACAACGCACAGUGGCUCGUUCAUCGACUGAAGCAGAAUAUAAGGCUCUUGCGGAUGGUACUACUGAGAUUUUGUGGAUUCGAGCUCUGCUAUCAGAUCUUCAUUUUUCCUCUGAUCCUAUGACAAUCCUCUGGUGUGAUAAUUUGGGUGCUACCUACUUGUCUGUUAACCCUAUAUUUCAUGCUCGCACUAAGCAUGUUGAAGUCGAUUAUCACUUUGUUCGUGAUUGCUUUGCCAAAAAGGAAAUUGCGGUUCGGUUCAUCUUAUCACAGGAUCAACUUGUUGAUGUACUUACCAAACCUCUUCCUCACGCGUCCUUUACUUAUUUUCGGUCCAAGCUUCAUGUGGAUUCUCCUCCUUCAGCUUGAGGGGGCAUAUUAUGGAAUGUUAUUAUGUAUAUAUAUCUAUCUUGUAUUUACCAUAUAUAGAUUUCUGAUCAUGUGUAGGAUACCACAUGGUUAGUAUCAUGUACAACCCUACAUCUAUAUAUAUAUAUUACAUAAGGGGAGUGCUGUAGAUAUUGAGCACAGCCUCCACAAUAUUCUCCAAUUCUCAUUCUCCCUUAACUUCAACUCACACAUCUGUGUGUGUGCGCGCUCAAAAGGAAAAAGUUGGAAAGGAUUCUAAAAACAAAUACUUCAACUUUUGAAAUAAUCUUAAUAUAUUAUAAUUUUAAUGUAUAAUAAAAAAACAUUUUAAAAUAAUUUUUUGAAUUUUAUUGUUUACAAUGUAUAUAUUAAAAUUACAAAUAUUUUUUAAAACUAAUCUGAAUUAACUCCUCUAACUUUUGAGGUGCUGAACUCAGUUUGAUUUGAAUAACUGUGGUUGCAAUGCUUUUGGUCGUGAAUAUCUUUUCAUGCCAUGAAACAUUAUUCUAAAUAUAAAUAUUUUUGCUCACUUUUUUUAUUAUACCAUUGAUUAGCCAAUAGCUUAGCAACUUUUUCCACGAUUUAUCACAACCACAUACACUCUGCAGAUGAAGAUAGCAAGUCUGAUAUAAAGCCUUGCUUUCUACGAUUUAUGAUCUUAAUUGCCAUAUUUUUUUUCACUUCAACAAUGGCUGAUGAGGUGACACUGUUGAAUUUCUGGGCAAGUAUUCGUGCAGUGGACAGGACUUGAGCAACGGAAAGAGUGAUUUGCUUCUUCAGAUGAACCCAGUUUACAAGAAGAUUCCAGUUCUCGUCCACAGAGGAAAACUAACCUUCUGAUCCUCAUUAAAGAGCUCGGUCCAUGUUCUUGGCUGAUUUUAUUGAUAAAAAGGUAUGGACAUAUGCCUUUAAUCUUGCUAAAUCUCUGGCCCCCCUUCGAUUCAUGCAUCUAUGCUUGCGUGAGGACAAAUAUAUAUUCCUUUGCUACUGCUAUGUUACAGUAAUAUCAAUUAUGUGCUGUAAAAAUGAAUUCUCAGAUAUUAUUUCAAAAUAUUUUUAUUCUAUAUUCACAGCACUUCUUGUUAUUUUCCUUGUUGUUUCUGCAUCCCUCCUUUCAAGGAAGAAUCUAGCUAAUGAAUACUGGUGGAUAAUAACUUUACGUGAGUAAAUAUCCUUGAGGACAUUGUUUGUGCACACCCUUGAGUUUUGUGUUCUACUAUAUUCUGUUUAUUAUAUUUCCAACAUGAUUCUGUGAUAUUUUUGGCAUUUUACUUACUUUUACAUAAUUAGGACUACAUUUUUGUGAUGAAGUGCUGUGAAUCUUCAGGUAAAUGAUCUUUCUAGAAAGAUAUGGACAACAAAAGGAGAAGAACUGGAGGCGGCAAAGAAGGGUUUCUUUGAAUGCCUUGAGUGAUAUAUUGGAGGGUUUAUUUAUCCCAUGUAAAAGGAAUUAAACAAUGGCCAAACAAAUGAAAAUUGCAACUUUCAGUUUUUUUGUCAGAGUAAAAAGAACACAAGAUAUUAGUUUCAAAGCUUUAAUUUCAUGGGAAGCACAUUAAUUAUCAUAGGCUUCGUUAUGCUACACAGUGUUCAAGUACUGUUCUCCACCGACAAAUAGAGAAUUGAAAAUCUCCAUUUUACAUAUGCUUUAAUAAAACUAAGCCAAUCUCAAUUCCAACAACCCUUCCAUCUGCGUUCUCCUGCAUGGAUAUUGAUCCUGUCUUUGUCAAUGGAAGGAGCCCCCACCUUCCUCGACAUACCCCACCCAAAGAAACCGUAGCCAUAAAUUCUGCAAACUCUUCUUUGGAUACAUCAAGAACUCCUUUUUAAGUGUCAGAGUCUGAUGCACGGUCACCUCAAUGUUAGUGUUUGUUUACCGUCUAAAAAAGUUAAAAAUUAUAUUUACAGCUCACAAGUCAUAUGAAUACAUUACCAUCUACAACUUUCCAUGUUAUUUUUAAAAAUAUUUUCAUUGAUGUAUUAUUUUACUAAAUUUUAAUUUUUAUUGUGCUAGAGUCGGUAGUUGCGCUAAAGAACUAGACAUAUUUCCAAGGUAGACAAGAAUACGGUCGUUGACACGUGAAUAGUCAUUUCUCAAGAAAUUGACAAUAAUUUGAUGCAUUCAAGAAAAUGAUUGCAAGUUUAUUUCAAAAAAGUUUCGAGCCCGUAUUUGGUGGUUUACACAUUCGAGCUUCCCGUGACACCGACAUAUGGACCCAUGGCAAAAACAAAUCGUAUUUAAACUGACUUGAAAUUACCAAAGCUAUUCUUAGUUUUCUUCAUGCAAAACAUGAAAAAGUUUCAAAUCCAAGGACACAACCUCGAUUUGAUUUCCCAUUUGAUGAUAUCUCUGCAAAUUCAAAUAGCUUGAAAACAAAUUUUAUAUAUAGAAUAAUUGAUUAAUUUCAUGAUUUAGACAAUUUAAUUCAAUCUCUUUAACUAAGAUGGUUGGUAACUAGAAUCUAGUAUCUACCAAAAAAAUUUCUAAUGAAUUUAAGGAUUUUAUAAUGUUUAAAUAAAUAUUUUUUUUAAAAAAUACAAUAAUAUUUUAAAAAUAAACUUUAAAAAUAAAUAUAUUAUGAAGAACCUCCCAUUCUAAAAAUUUCAAUUGGUCUUUAAAACUCAUCACCUUCUUUGUCAAAGAGAAAAGAUUAAAGAAAAAUAUCCUUUACUUGAUCAUGGGAGAAAAUAAAAUUUUAUACACUUGAAUUAUGUGCUUGGCUGAGCCAGACAAGAUGAGUCUAACAUAUCAUUAGACUGAUACAUGAUUGGAAACAGUGUUUAGCUAAACCUAAAAGAACUGGGCCUAAUAGAUUGUCAUUCCCAAUAUCUAGGCUCAACACUUGACCGAGCUCAAGAGAAUUGAGUCUAUCAGACUUAUUAAAAGAUGGGUUUAACAGAUCACCAAAUUAUCAUACCCUUUAGUGGUAUUGUUUGACAUAUUUGACAAUAUUAGUCUACUAAAUUUAACCUUCUGAAAUAUUAUGUUUCCUAGCUCUAUUUGACUUGAAAAUUUACUACAAUAUAUUUUUAUAUAUCUAAUAUUUCCUUGUAAAAUUUUAGUUUUAUCCAAUAUACAGUUUCAAAAAUAUGUUUAAUCUCGCAAAACUAAUUAGCAGACAUUUUAAGAUCAAAUUUGAACAUGAGUUGAUUCAUAUCAUAAAUUUAAUAAACUCGUAAAAUCAGAUCAAGCUUAUUAAUUUUACUGAUUUUACAUGAGUUAAGUCCGAUUUAGCACGUUAAAACUCGCAACUCGUAAUUUUCCGGUUAUAAUUUCUCAUAUUUAUGAAUAAUUAUUUCAUUUUGUCAGGGGUAAUUAACUCUGAGAUUUCCUUGUCUAUUUUUCAGGAGUCAUUGACUGGUUGGUGUGAUGAGUUGAAGACAUAGAAAGGCACAAACAUGAAAAUGCGAUAUGGUAUCCAAUUGCCCACUGGGCACUAGCACAGUACAUUUUUCACUUAUUUAAUUCUGCCACAAUAAUUUUUUAAAAAAAUAAAUUUAAAUUUUAUUAAAAUCUAGUAUAAACACAGCACGAAACAAUGAUUUAGACAUCGUUUGGGAACAUGGUGUUAAUUACGUUUCACAACAAUUUAACUUUUUUAAAAAAAUUAAUUUUUUAUAUAUAUUUUUAAUCAUUUUGAUGCGUUAAUUUAAAAAUAAUUUUUAAAAAUUAAAAAAAAAACUAUUUUAAUAUAUUUCAGCAUAAAAAAUAUUUUUAAAAAUAAUAAUAACCAAACUCUCGAACAGAUCAAUUAGUAAAAUGUGAGUAUAUGUUAAUAGUAUACUCAAUAAAAAGCACACACUUUCCAAAAGGCCGAACAAGAAAUAACCAGCCCUCAAAAGUCUACUAAAAAAUUCUAUUCCUUUCUUUCUUUUUUCUUAUUUUUUUGGGUACUUCUCUGGAUCAACUUGGCUACUUAGCUAAUUCAAAUAGAAUGGAUUUGAUAUUGUUUUAUAAUCUUUGAUUAAUUAAACGGAUUUGACUUGAGAUUCGAAGACAAAACUGUGAAUUGUAAAUUCCCAGGAAAAUGACAAUAAUUUGAUGUUCAUAAGAAAAUGAUUGCAAGUUUUUUUUGGUUUUUGAAGUUUCGAGCCCAGAUUUGGUGGUUUCCACAUUCGAGCUUCCCAUGACACUGACAUAUGGAACCAUGGCAAAAACAAAUCGUAUAUAAAUUGACUUGAAAUUACCAAAGCUAUCGUUUGUUUUCUUCAGGCAAAAACUGAAAAGGUUUGUUGGCAAGAUUAUUGCUUAAUUUGAAUAAUAAUAAAAAACAUACUCUCGUUAUCAUAUAUUUUAUUUUCCCUACACAAUCCCCGUAAUAAAAUAUAUAUUGAUCGUACAUAAUAUGAAUUCCGGUGAUAAUUUCUCAAAUUUAUGAAUAAUUAUCUCAUUUUGGGCAGGGUAAUUAACUCUGAGAUUUCAGGAAUCAUUGACCGGUUGGUGUGAUGCAGUUGAAGACAUAGAAAGGAACAAACAUGAAAAUGCGUUAUGGUAUCCAAUUGCCCACUGGGCACUAGCACAGCACAUUUUCCACUUAUUUAUUUCCGCAACAUCUUUCUGCAAGGAUAGAUAUGCUAUAAAGAUUUCUACUCUCCACUGUCAAGAGCACAGCCAUUCUGAAACGCGAGAAAAAACUAUCUGUGAUUCAGUUUUACUCUUUUUCACAACAACAAUGGCUGAUGAGGUGACACUGCUGGAUUUCUGGGCAAGCCCCUUUGGCAUGAGAGUCAGAAUAGCACUGGCAGAGAAGGGAGUCAAGUAUGAGUACAGUGAACAGGACUCGAGGGACAAGAGUGCAUUGCUUCUGCAGAUGAACCCAGUCUACAAGAAGAUUCCAGUUCUCGUCCACAGAGAAAAAUUAACCAGUUUGUGAAUCCAUUAUUAUUCUUCAGUACAUUGAUGAUGUGUGGAGGGACAAGGCUCCUUAAUUUGCUACCUUCUGAUCCUCAUGAAAGAGCUCCGUCCAUGUUCUGGGCUGAUUUUAUUGAUAAAAAGGUAUGGACAUAUGGCCUUUAAUCUUGCUAAAUCUCUGGCCCCCCUUCGAUACAUGCAUCUAUGCUUGCGUGAGGACAAAUAUAUAUAUUCCUUUGCUACUGCUAUGUUACAGUAAUAUCAAUUAUAUGCUGUAAAAAUUGUUAGAAAUAAACCUUCUAUUAGUCUUGUUAGCAACAGAUGAGAUCAUGUUUAUCUCUCCUUUCUAUUAAGCUUUGUUAGUAACAGAUGAGAUCAUGUUUAUCUCAAGAUAAAGAUGUAUGUUUAGCUUGUUAUCUUGUAUUCUUAUCUUCUUAUCUCUUCUUUGAAAACUCAAAUCACUGUAUACUAUCUAUAAAUACAAUACAUACUUGGCUGAUAAUUUAUUCAGCUUUUCCGCACUUUAUUUUAGAAUUGUAACUUGGUAUAAGAGCAAACAAAGCUCACGCUCAUUUUUUUUUCUCUCUUUUCCCGAUCCAUUAUGGCCUCUUUCUCUGCAUCACCUUCAUUUGUCAUCCCUAAUAUCACCUCUUUAGUGUCUGUCAAACUUGAAGGACACAAUUACCUGAACUGGACAACUCAGUUCAUACCAGCCUUGAAAAGCCAUGACCUCCUGAGCAUUGUUGAUGGCUCUGAGGCUUGUCCUACUCAAUUCCUUGUUGACUCCACUAGCAAACUAACCUCUGAUAUUAAUCCAGCAUAUCUAGUUUGGCAAAAAAAGGAUCAAUUUAUUUUGGCAUGGUUAAAUGCCACACUAGAUGUAAGAAGGAGAGAAUUGUUCUAUUUGUAUAUUUCAUUCUGCAGUUACAGUGGUAUAUAUUACAUGAGAAAGGGAAGCACGAUCCUAUAUCUCAGCUAACAAUUGUUGAAUAUCUGCUAAUGAUUCCAAAGAUCAAGCCGAAAUAUAUAUGCUAAUAACUGUACAAUAAGCGAUGGAUGGGAAGUGAAUAUAUGCUAAUAACUGUACAAUAAUCCAUGGAUGGAAGGUGAAUAUAUGCUGUUAAUACUCCCCAUCAAGUUGGAGCAUGGAGAUCCAUAAUACCCAACUUGCGUGAUAAUGCUUGGAAAGCUUCACGGCCUAAAGCUUUUGUGAAGAUAUCUGCCAGCUGAUUGUGACUAGGGACGUGCUGGGUGGAGAUGAGGCCGACUUUGAGCUUUUCACGAAUAACAUGACAAUCAAUUUCUAUGUGCUUGGUACGUUCGUGAAAGACAUGAUUCUGAGCAAUAUGAAGAGCUGCUUGGUUGUCACAAUGUAAAAACAUAGGCUGGGAGUGGUAGACACCAAGAUCAUGUAAAAGUGUUUUGAGCCAUGUAAGUUCACAAGUGGUGGAAGCAAGAGCGCGGUAUUCGGCUUCAGCAGAUGAACGAGAGACCGUAUGUUGCUUCUUAGUGCGCCAGGAAAUAGGACUGGUCCAAGCUGAACAAAAAAACCAGUGGUGGAACGACGAGUGAGCGGGCAACUAGCCCAGUCCGAAUCUGAAUAAGCUGACACUUGAAGAGUGUUAAUAGAAGGGAAAUAUAAGUCUUGGCCUGGAGAAGCUUUGAGGUAACGAAGAACACGGACAACAACAUUAUAAUGUGAUUGUCGGGGUUGAUGCAUGAACUGACUUAGAAGGUUGACAGAGAACACAAUGUCAGGACGAGAGAUCAUGAGAUAUGUUGUAACCUAUUUUUGGGUCCCCAUAAAAAAUAAAAUAAAUAGCCAAAAGAGGUUAGGAAAAUAACAGGAGGCAGAAGCGCUCAGAAAACAGUCAGAAAAAUUGGUCAAGGAAUUUAAAAAUACAAGGAUUGAAUUUUUGACAGUAUAUUCUUGAAGGAUGAAAGCCCUAUUGAGAAGGAAAAUUUGAAUUUUAAAGGAGAAAAGCCCAAAUUUGGAUGUUUAUGGACUUAAUUGGAUUUUUAUUUGAAUUUAUAGAAGAUUUGAUUGCAAGAAAAAUUGAUUUUUAAGUCAAUUUGGGCUUUAAUUAGAAGAAAUUUAAGUUCUGGGGCCAAACUAUAUUUUUUUAGGAAUUUAUUAGGUCAAAUCAGGGGCUUAAUUGCAUAAAUAUUGAAGUUUAAUGGCCAAUUAGGGGCUUAAUUGUGAAAAUCCGAAACUAGGGACUAAUUUGGAGAAGGCGCAAAGAUAGAGGGGGCUGUUUGGAAUUGAUUCAGGGGCUUAAUUGAAGGAAUUGAAAGUUUAUUGAUCAAUUAGGGGCUUAAUUGUGAAAAUCAGAGGUCAAUGACCAAAGUGAAAACGCGGCCAACUAUAGGGGUAGGGACCGAAUUUGGCAGGGACGCAAUUGAAUUUUAUUCUUAAAAUCAGGACUCGAUUGAAGGACUUAAUAGAACAAAUGAUAAAUUAAGGACUGAUUCAAAAACAAAUGUUCUGGCGCCUUUUUUUUAAAAAUGAAACGGUGGGUUUUCUCCAAAACGACGCCGUUUCAUACAUAUAAAUUAAAAAAAAAAAAAAGACCGAACGGUGCCGUUUUGAACGACACUGUUCACCUUUCUUCUUCCCCUGAACAUGCAGCGGGGAAGAAGAAAAAAAGAAGUUUUUUUUUAUUUGUUGCAGGUCCCUCUUGCCACCAACCAACCGAGACCCCACGCCGGUGGGCCACCGACAGAAGACACUGGCCGACCACCCGCCGCGUUGCCGAAGCCGAGGGAGGCCCGCCUGGACAGCCGCUCCCCGAUAGCCGCUCCUUGGCUCCACGGUGAAGCCACGCCCACUGGCUCUAUAAAUAGCGCCCAACCCAGCACACCGAGGAGAACAAGAAGAAAAAGAAGAGGGAACCGAAGGGGGGAGAAAAGGACACACAAAGUCGGACGAAAACCAGCCAUUACUGCCCAGUUUUCCUGCAACCAACCUCUUUUUCUCUUUCCCUCUCCGCCGUUGGCCCUCAUCAACCACCACCAUCAUCACUCGUCUUCUCACCGACAUCUCCACCUCAAGAAGCCACCAAAACAUCACACACGGUGGUUGCAUCAUCUUCUCCCAAGACGUAGCAGCACCAUUGCAGAAAAGGCAGCAACCCGCGCCUCUGCUGCGAGAAGAAGAAGAACAAAGCCAUCACCGCCAGCUACCACUAUCUUCCUAGUCGACAACAGCACAGUUGGGAGCAUAAGGAGAAAAGGGAAGCAGAGGAGAACAUAGAUGAAGAGGAACGCAGAGAAGAAAAGGAAGAAAGGCUGAACACCGCACUCCACAAUCACCGACCACCAUCCAAGUCACUCCCCGGCCACCACUACCAGCGCCUCCACAAAGCUGCCAUAGAGAGGGAAGAACAUUGCUGACUAAAGGAAACCAAGAGAAGAAGCAACGCCUCUGUAAAGGGGAAGAAGAAGAGAAAACAACUGUUGUCAUCGAGCUUCCCAACCACUGCCACCGUCAGAACCACCGUGAGCCCCCAUUGGCUUCCUGUCCACCGCCACCAGCAUCACUGGGAGUGUUCGCCAUCGACUUCAGCAUCGUUUCUGCCACCAGGUUUGCACCCCCUUCGUCGCUGUGCAUGCACCAUUUCCUUGCAUUUCACUGUUCAAGUGAAAUAUAAUUCACUUGAACAGUGAAAUGCUAAUUCACUGUUCACAUCAAAUAUAAUUCACGUGAGUAGUGAAAUGCUACUUCACUGUUCACAUCAAAUAUAAUUCACGUGAACAGUGAAAUGCUAUUCACUGUUCGCAUGAGGCCUGCUGGGUGCAGCCCAGCCGCGUGGGCCCCGCCCAAAAAAAAUAUAUAAAAAAAAAUUCUUCAAAAAAAAAUAUUUCAAAGAAUUUGUGGUUUUUAUGUAAUUUUAUUACUGUAUUUUGGUCAAUAUCGGUUUGUAUCUUUAUAUUGUAAAGAUACAAAUCCGGUAUUAAAAUACCCGGUUUUCGUCAACAAAAAAAAUGUUUAUUUAAAAAAAAAUGUUUUGUUUUCAUGCAUACGACCAAUACUCUAACAUGUUUUGAAUGUUCUUUUUAUAUAAAAAAAAAUAUUGGAAGUUUUGAAAAUGUGUUUUCACAUGAAUUUCUUAAACACCACAAAAAUUAUUUUCUUGCAUUUCUGGAUUUUACAACAUGUUUGUAAAACUCCAAAGGGUAUUGGCCAAUAUUCCAAAAACUAUAAAAAUCUUAUUUUGGGGGAAUUCAUCUAUUAUUCACCGCUAAUGUUUGGAUAAAGAAAUCCUUAAAGGAUGAAUAUCCAAAAUAUUAUUGGGAGUAAUAAAUCCGCACACAUCCUUGAAAGAAGCCUUGAUUAUAAUCGAGGACAUUUCAAAACUUCAAUUUUUUUACUCCACGGUUUACGAGCCGUGAAAGUAUGAAAUACUAAGGCAAAAGGAGGCUUUUAAAGCGCUUUGAAUUUCCUUAGAUUUCUAAAAAAAAUUUGUCCCUCCUUCUUGCGAUUUACGAGUCGCAAACUCUUGAAAUACUAAGGGAAAAAUGAGCUUUCAAAGCACAUGGAAUCUCCUUGGAUUUCUAUCCAAAUAAAUUUUAUUUGAAUCAAACCUAGGAAAACUAAUGGGAUUAGAAAACACCAACACCAUAGCAAUUAUAGAGCAAACCAAACACCAAGCAACUUACCUUAGGUAGGGCGUACUAGGGGUGCUAAUACCUUCCCUUUACGCAACCAGUCCCUUGCCUUAGAAUCUCUGAAAGACUAGUUAGGGUUCCUAGUGACCAAAAUACUAGGUGGCAACUCUAAAGAACCAAAUCAAGCAAAAACAAAAGCAAAAAAAUCGCCAUCGAACGCCGCAUUCGGGAUUUUUUAGGGUGCAACAAGAUAUAUCAAACGACCAACAAGACGGCGAAAGGAACUGGGAUCAUAGAGCAAAUCACCAUCAUAAUUAUUGAGCUUGAGAUGUUGUUCCAUUGGAAAGGAAGAGGGACGUGCACCAAGGUGACCUCUAUCAGCAAGUAUGUCAAGGGCAUAUUUGCGUUGAGUGAGGAAGAUGCCACUGGGAGAGCGGGCAAUUUCAAGGCCAAGAAAAUAUUUGAGUUGGCCGAGGUCCUUAAGCUUAAAGCGUUGAGCAAGCAUGACUUUGAAGUUAUUGAUGUCAGCGAGAUCAUUUCCUGCCAAGAGAAUGUCAUCAACAUAAAUAAGGAUGAGAGUGAAAGACUGUCCUCGAUGGCGAGUGAAGAGAGAGUGAUCUGCUUGUGAUUGGGCGAAGCCUGCAGUAAGUAGAACAGAUGAUAAUUUAGAGAACCAAUUGCGAGAGGCUUACUUGAGGCCAUAGAGUGAUUUCUGAAGAUGACAAACAUGGGCAUCCGUCUGUUUGGAAUAGCCUGGUGGAGGAGUCAUAAAAACAUCUUCAUCAAGGUCGUCAUGGAGGAAUGCAUUGUGGACGUCCAACUAAAAAAGAUGCCAAUGACGAGUUGCAGCCACUGCAAAAACACAUCUAACGGUAACAAGUUUAGCAACAGGAGCAAAGGUGUCAUGAUAAUCCAAACCUUCUACCUGAGCAUAUCCCUUGGCCACUAAGCGAGCUUUGUGUCUUUCUAUGGAACCAUCAGCCCAAAAUUUUGUUUUGAACAACCACUUACAACCAAUUGGGGUUUUGCUAGAUGGAAGGGGUUGAAGGGUCCAAGUAUGGUUUGCUUCUAAGGCUUGUAUUUCAGCUGCUAUAGCAUCACGCCAGUGAGGGUGACGGGUAGCUUCAGAAUAGGAGGUGGGAUCAGGGUGAUGGGAGAGUGCAGAGAGGUAGGCGAGAUGUUUAGGAGUGAAACGUGUAUAAGACAGAAAAGAAGAGAGACAGUGAACCAUACCUGAGGAAGAGAGUGAAACCUGUGAAGCAGUGGAGGACCUUGGAAAAGAAGGGCAAAUAUAGUCAGCUAAGUAAGUGGGACGAGUGACAACUCGUUUUGGUUGUGUUGGAAGGGGUGGGGUGGGCUAUGUGGAUGACGGUUCCUAUAAGGAGGGAAGGGAAGAGGAGGUAGUAGGCGGUGCAGAAACAGUAUUAGAUGGAAGUUCAAGAAUAGGAAGGGAAAGAACCAGGGAAGGUGUGGGAUCUGAGGUCAUGAGAUGAUAAGGGAAAAUAUUUUCUUCAAAUGUAACAUCACGAGAUAUGAAAAAAAUUUUAUGUUCAAGAUCGUAGACACGAUAAGCCUUAUGAUGAAUAGGAUAGCCUAAGAAAACACAUCGUAGAGCACAAGGAGAAAAUUUAUCACGAUUUUUGCGUGGUUUGAGCAUAGCAUAAACACCCAAACACUUGUAAAUGUGAAUAUGAUGGUUGUUUUUGAAAAAGAAGUUCAUAGGGUGACUUAUGAUUAAGGCGGGAUGAAGGAGUGCGGUUAAUUAAAUAAGUGGCUGUGAGAAUGCAUUCACCCCAAAAAGAAAUGGGAAGAUUGGCUUGAAAACGUAAACACCGGGCCACAUUAAGAAGGUGACAAUGUUUACGUUCAGCAACGCCAUUUUGUUGAGGUGUAUCCACACAUGUGCGCUCGUGAAGGAUGCCAUGAUCGUGAAAUUUUUUUUGUAUGUUAUUAGAUAAAAACUCUUGUCCAUUAUCGGUGCGCACAUGCUUAAUGAUGCGAUUAAAUUGAUUUUUAACCAUUGCACAAAAAUUGGUAAGGCAAGUAAAAGUUUCUGAUUUCAUACGCAUGAGAUAAACCCAUGUAGUACGUGAGUAAUCAUCCACAAUGAUUAAAAAAUAGUGGGCACCUGAAUAUGAAGCUGUAGGAUAACCACCCCAUAUAUCACAAUAAAUCCGAUUAAAACAAAAGGUGCUCUUGUUUGUAUUCAAAACGAAAGGUAAACGAGUGUGUUUUGCUCUAGCACAAAUAUCACAAGGCAAAUGUGAUUUUGGAAAAUUUAAAGUUGUUGGAAUACUUGAAGGAGAAGGGUGACCGAGUUGUUGAUGCCAAAGGGUAGAGUCAGAAAUGCGUUGAGAAUGAAAAACAGAGGCAGCGAAAGGUUUGUAGUGGUAAAGUCCAUCCCGUACUUCACCCGUUCCAAUCAGCUUCCUCGUUGAUAGGUCCUGAAAAACACAAAAGUCAGAAAAAAAAAAUAGCGACACAAUUGAGAGUACUGGUGAGUUUGCUGAUAGACAAUAGAUUGAAUUUAAAUGAUUGUACGUAUAAAACAUUAGGAAGGGAAAUUGCUGGUGAAAUAUGCAAUGUGCCAGUAUGAGUGAUAGAGACAAUGUCACCAUUUGGAAGUGAAAUAGGACAUGGUUGAUUAAGAAGCUGAGUGUUAUCAAGGGAUGAAAGACUGGAAGUCAUGAUCUGAAGCUCCUAAAUCAAUAAUCCAUUCUCGGUUAGAAAAAGAAGCAGAGUGACAGGAGACAAGAUUACCAGCAAAGUUGGCAGAAUUGGUGUUCACAGGUGAUAAAAAUUCCAAGAGCCGAUUGUAUUGAUCACUUGUGAGGCCAGGGAUAGCAAUCUCAGUAGAGGUUGAAGAACUAGAUACAAUAUUUUCAGUCUUUGAGGAACCAGCUGGAGUGGGAGAACCAACGACAUUAUUUGCUGCCUUUGACGAACCAGAUAUUCUAUCAAGUGUUCCACGAGGUUGAGGUCUGUUGCUGGGAUAUCCAUUGAGCUUAUAACAGUGUGUUCUCCAGUGACCAUCACGGUCACAAUAGUCACAUUUUGGACGAUCACGCCCUCGCCCUUUACUGUCAAAACGACGAGAAGGAUGGCGAGGAGCCAUCAUAGCAGCAGACUCGGUUGGAAAAUUGGGAAAAUGAAGAAGACGUUGUUUCUCUUCUUGAUGCAGGGUUGAAUAUACCUUGUUAACAGGAGGUAAUGGAUCCAUAGCCAAAACUUGGCUACGAAUGGAGGCAUAUGAAUCAUGCAAACCCAUUAAAAAUUGAAAAACACGUUCAGUAUCUUGCAUGUGAUUCAGUUCUGUCAAGAUACCACAAGUGCAUUGUGGUGUGGGAGUGAGCAUGGCUAGCUCAUCCCAAUGACUUUUAAGUGUUGUAAAGUAUGCUGAGAUUGUCAUGGAGCCUUGAGUGAGAGUAGCAAUAUCAUGUUUCAGUUUGAAGAUCCUUGGAUUGUUGCUUUGAGAGAAUCGAUCCUCAAGAUCGAGCCAGACAUCACGGGGGCAAGCAUGAUAGAUUAAACUGCUAACAAUGGAUUUAUCAAUGGAAUUGAGAAUCCAUGAUAAGACCAUGUCACUGCAACGUUACCAUAACUGAAUAUCUACAACAGAAGACGUUGGCUUGGAAAGAGUACCAUUAACAAAAACCAAUUUGUUUUUGGCAUUCAAGGCCAUUUUCAUUGCCCUCUUCCAGGUAGGAUAAUUGUCACCAUUAAGGAGAGUGGAGACCAGAAUGACACCAGGAUGGUCAGCGAAAUGGAGGAAAUAUGGUGAGGAUAUGUCUUGAAUGGAUGGUGAUGUGAAAGAGGAGGCUGCCUGGGAUGUGGUAUUUGACGUGGCUGCAGGAAAAAACGUUGAAGAAUUUUGCUUAUAGAAAUAUGUAGAGAACUUGCUCUGAUACCAUGUAAGAAGGAGAGAAUUGUUCUACUUGUAUAUUUCAUUCUGUAGUUAUAGUGGUAUAUAUUACAUGAGAAAGGGAAGCACGAUCCUAUAUCUCAGCUAACAAUUGUUGAAUAUCUGCUAAUGAUUCCAAAGAUCAAGCCAAAAUAUAUAUGCUAAUAACUGUACAAUAAGUGAUGGAUGGAAAGUGAAUAUAUGCUAAUAAAUGUACAAUAGUCCAUGGAUGGAAGGUGAAUAUAUGUGUUAAUACUAGAUGAAAAAGUUUUCCACUGUGUAUGGACUCACUACAUCUACACAGGUUUGGAAUGCUCUUGCUACCAGAUUUGCUCCUCAAUCUUGUUCAAGAAUCAUCCAUCUCAAAAGACAACUCCAAACUCUGCAGCAAGGUAACAAAAGUUGCUCUGAUUAUUUGUUCACAGCAAAACAUUUGUCUGGCCAACUUUCAGCUGUAGCAAAACCAGUUGACAAUGAAGACCUUAUCUCAUAUAUUGUUGGUGGACUAAACCCAUCUUCACCACUUUUAUCACCUCCCUCAACUUUGCUACCCGAGACCAACCAAUCUCUUUUGAUGCUUUUCAAGCUGAACUGCUUAACCACGAGCAACUACUUGAAGCACAAAACAAAUCUCAGUCAUAUGAGAUUACUCAAGUGGCCUUUUUUACUCCUAAACACAAACAACCAAUAAGAAACCAAGAUUUCCCACUCAGAAAAAUCACCACCAUGGAUUUCCCACUCAGAAAAAUCCCCACCAUGCAAGAUCCAAUGCUAAUCCAAUCUUUUCUACCCCUGACUCUAAACCACAAUCCACUAGAGUUCCAAAACAAUUCCCUUCUUGUCAGAUCUGUGGACAGACAAAUCACCAGGCUCUUGAAUGUUAUCACCACAUGGAUUUUUCUUAUCAAGGUAGGCAUCCCCCUGCUCAGUUGGCAGCAAUGACAGCUCAUACUCAAGAGGAACAAGGAUUUGAACAUCCAUGGUACCUUGACAGUGGGGCUAAUAAUCACAUCACUUCUGAACUCCAGAAUUUAACCCUGCACCAACAACCGUAUCAUGGAAAUGACAAAGUAACAGUUGGCAAUGGAGGAGGUUUGCAUAUCACCAAUACUGGUUCCUCUGUGCUUGCUACACCUGAAUCACAAUUCCUUUUAACCAAUAUUCUUCAUUGUCCAUCUGCUUCGUCAAAUCUAUUAUCUAUUCAACGUUUUUGCUUUGACAACAACUGUUAUUUUAUACUCACAGCAACUCACUUCUUUGUGAAGGAUAUGCAGACCAAGGAAAUUCUCCUGCAAGGGCCGAGUAAAGCUGGUUUAUAUCCAAUGUUCUUGUAGCAACUUAAAUUCAACAAGUCAUCUCCCAAAGUUGCCAUGCUCUCUCCUUUUACUGCACUCCUAGGUGUUACUGCUCCCUUUCAAGUCUGGCAUUCACGGUUGGGUCACCCGUCAGACACCAUUAUUUAUAGUUUAGUGAAAAACUCAUUAAUACCUGUUUCUGGAUCAAAAAAAUCACAGACCUUGUGUGAGUCCUGUCAGGUAGCUAAGAGUCAUAAACUUCCUUUCUUUGAGUCCAAUAAUAGGUCUAGCCGUCCCCUUGAAUUGAUUCACUCGGAUGUAUGGACUUCUCCUAUCAUGUCAGUUGGUGGUUGCAAAUUCUAUGUCUUAUUUAUUGAUGAUUUUUCCAGAUUUACAUGGUUGUUCCCAUUGAAACAAAAAUCAGAGGUGUUUAGCUGCUUUGUUCGUUUUAAAAGCUUAGUUGAAAACCAAUUUUCAAGCACUAUCAAACAACUAUUAACUGACAAUGGUGGUGAGUAUUUAUCUACUGUUUUCCAGGAAUACCUCUCACAACAUGGUAUUCUUCAUAUACUCACAUCUCCUUACACUUCCGAACAAAAUGGAAUCUUUGAAAGAAAGCAUAGACAUAUCAUCACUACUGGUCUUACUCUUUUGGCUCAGUCACAUCUGCCUUUGAAUUAUUGGGUGGAUGCAUUCUUCACAGCUACUUACCUCAUAAACAGACUCCCUACACCUGUUUUGUCCAACAAAUCUCCAUACUUCACUCUAUUAAACAAAUAUCCAGACUACUCAUUACUCAAAACAUUCGGGUGCUUAUGUUUUCCCUUGCUUAGGUCGUAUAAUGCACAUAAACUUGCUUUUAGAAGUAAGAAAUGUGUAUUCCUUGGAUACAGCUCUAAUCAUAAAGGGUAUCGGUGUCUUGAUCCACAAACAAAUAGAGUCUAUAUAUCCAGACAUGUUGUCUUUGACGAGUUGAACUUCCCUGCUCAGGAUGCACUGAUUACAACCAGUAAUACUCAUCCCUUGCAGCACAAUUCUCCUCUGUCUUCAGAUUCCACACAAACAGUUAUUAUCUCCAACACUUGGUCUCUUGUUUCAGCCACUUUACCUAGUUUUUCUAUUCCUAACCCAUCCACUUCAGAUCAUGACUAUUUACCUACUCUUUCUACAACAACUUCACCCAAUAUCAACACACCUACUGAUCUAUCUAUUUCUGAAAUCCAUUAUGAACCUUCACAUGUUACUUCCCCUCCUCAUAUCAACACUACACCUAUACCUGACCCUAUAUCUCCAGAUUCUAAUCUUGAACCACACUCAGUUUCUGCCUCUCCUACUCAACAACCAGACCUCACCUCUACCCUGCCUCACUCAUCACAAAUUAUAACCAGGUCUCAGACAAACUCCUCCAAACCAAAGCAUUUUCCAGAAUAUCACCUUUAUCAUUCCACCAAGUAUCCCCUCCAAGCUCAUUUCACUAAUACUUUACCAUCUGAACCAACAACCUUUAAAAGAGCUGCACGGAACCAGGAUUGGGUGAAUGCAAUGACUGCAGAAUAUAAUGCAUUUCUUACUAACAACACUUGGUCACUUUGUCCGAGACCAAGACAUAAACAGGUUGUGAGAAAUAAAUGGGUUUUCAAGAUAAAACAACGAUUUGAUGGCUCUAUUGACAGGUAUAAGGCACGGUUGGUGGCAAAGGGAUUUGAUCAAGUUGAUGGCCUUAACUUUACGGAAACUUUUAGUCCAGUUAUUAAACCUGCUACUAUUCGGUUAGCCCUUACUUUGGCAGUUCAUUAUAAUUGGUCUAUUAGACAACUUGAUAUUUCUAAUGCUUUUCUCCAUGGGUAUCUUGAAGAGGAGGUUUAUAUGGAGCAACCUCAAGGUUUUGAAGACGUGAAUUUUCCUGAUCAUGUAUGCCUCUUGCAUAAAUCAAUAUAUGGCCUCAAACAGGCCCCUAGAACUUGGUUCUUAAGGCUAUCCCAGGCCCUGAUGGAACUUGGAUUCACUGCCUCAACUGUGGACACUUCUUUAUUUACUUUCCAUCAUAGCACCGUGUGUAUUUUUGUGCUCAUAUAUGUUGAUGACAUUAUUGUCACCAGUAAUAUUGAUACUGCCAUUGAUACUCUUAUCUCUAACCUCGACACUGAAUUUGUUGUCAAGGAUCUUGGGGAAUUGUCUUAUUUCUUAGGCAUUCAGGUAAUCUUGGGGAACUGUUGAUCUUCUACAUCGCAUGAAAAUGACUGGUGCUAAACCUGCACCAACACCAUGCAUAUCAGGUGCCAAACUCUCAAAAUUCUCAGGUGAUCCUCUUACUGAUCCUACUGAAUAUAGAAGUAUGGUGGGAGCUCUUCAAUAUUUGACAUUGACCAGACCUGAUAUAUCCUACAGUGUCAAUCAAUUAUGUCAAUUUCUUCAUUGUCCUACAAAUAUUCAUCUUACAGCUGCCAAAAGGGUUUUAAGAUAUCUAAAAGGUACUCAACAGUUUGGUCUUCAAUUUAACAAGGGGUCAUUUCAACUCAAUGGUUUUUGUGACUCUGACUGCGCUGGUAAUCCGGAUGAUAGGAAAUCUAUCUCAGGAUAUUGCAUUUAUCUAGGCUCAUGUCUGAUUUCUUGGACUGCUAAGAAACAAUCCGUGGUGGCAAGAUCAAGCACCGAAGCUAAAAAUCGAUCAAUGGCACACACAGUGGCUGAACUUUACUGGUUGAGAAUGUUACUCAAAGAACUUCAUAUAUCUCUACUUACAACACCUUGCAUUUGGGUUGACAAUAUUGGUGCUUUAGCAUUAUCUUCUAACCCUGUUUUUCAUGCUAGAACAAAACAUAUAAAGAUGGACUAUCAUUUUAUCCGUGAGAAGAUCUUUUAAAAAGAUAUACAAGCUAAAUAUAUCUCCACCUCUGCACAACCCUCAGACAUCUUCACUAAAGGACUCUCUUCAUCACGUUUCAUUUUUCUUAGAGACAAAUUGAUGGUUCAUGAUCUUCCCAUCAGCUUGAAGGAGGUUGUUAGAGAUAAACCUUCUGUUAGUCUUGUUAGCAACAGAUGAGAUCAUGUUUAUCUCUCCUUUCUGUUAAGCUUUGUUAGUAACAGAUGAGAUCAUGUUUAUCUCAAGAUAAAGAUGUAUGUUUAGCUUGUUAUCUUGUAUUCUUAUCUUCUUAUCUUUUCUUUGAAAACUCAAAUCACUGUAUACUAUCUAUAAAUACAAUACAUACUAGGCUGAUAAUUUAUUCAGCUUUUCCGCACUUUAUUUUAGAAUUGUAACUAAAAUGAAUUCUCAGAUAUUAUUUCAAAAUAUUUUUAUUUUAUAUUCACAGCACUUCUUGUUAUUUUCCUUGUUGGUUUUGCAUCCCAUGUAAAAGGAAUUAAACAAUGGCCACACAAAUGAAAAUUGCAACUGGAGUCUCCUCUGUACCGCCCGACAAUGCCAAGCUUUCUGGGCAGAAGCAGCUGUAAAGUCUAAGAACUUUUAGUUUUUUUGUCAGAGUAAAAAGAACACAAGAUAUUAGUUUCAAAGCUUUAAUUUCAUGGGAAGCACAUUAAUUAUCAUAGGCUUCGUUAUGCUACACAGUGUAAACUGUAAACUGUGCUUCGUGUGAAUUAAAAAAUAUAUUAGUUCUAAAGCUUUUUCAUGCGAAGAACCAUUUGCAUCACAGAAGCACUGCGCAGUACUGUUCUCCUCUAGCAAUCUGGUCUUGGUUUAAGAAAAGACCAUCAACAAAUAGAGAAUUGAAAAUCUGCAUUUUAUUUAUGCUUUAAUAAAACUAAGCCACUCUCAAUUCCAACCCUUCCAUCUGCAUUCUCCUGUCUUAUCAAUGGAAGGAGUCUCCACCUUCCUAGGCAUACCCCACCCAAAGAAACCGUAGCCAUAAACUCAGCAAGCUCUUCUUUGGCUUCAUCAAGAACAAUAAUUUGAUGUUCAGAAAUAUGUUGUUGACACGUGAAUAGUCGGUUCUCAAGAACAAUAUUUUGAUGUUCAAAAAUGAUUGCAAGUUUUUUUUUAUAAUACGUUUCGAGCCCAGCUUUGGUUGUUUCCACAUUCGAGCUUCCCGUGACUCUGACACAUGGACCCAUGGCAAAAACAAAUCGUGUAUAAAUUGUCUUGAAAUUACCAAAGCUAUCCUUAGUUUUCUCAAAUUUAUGAAUAAUUAUCUCAUUUUGUCAGGGGUAAUUAACUCUGAGAUUUCCUUGUCUAUUUUUCAGGAAUCAUUGACUGGAUGGCGUGAUUUAGUUGAAGACAUAGAAAGGAACAAACAUGAAACUGUGAUAUGGUAUCUAAUUGCCCCCUGGGCAGUACGAGCACAGCACAUUUUCCACUUGUUUAUUUCUACCACAUCUUUCUGCAAAGAUUGAUAUGCUAUAAAGAUUUCUACUCUCCACUGUCAAGAGCACAGCCAUUCUGAAAGGCGAGAAAAAACUAUCUGUGGUUCAGUUUUACUCCUUUUCACAACAAUGGCUGAUAAGGUGACACUAGCGCCGGAACAUUUUGCAGGCUCCCCUUUUGGUGUAAGAGUGAGAAUAGCAUUGGCAGAGAAGGGAGUCAAGUAUGAGUACUGUGAUGAGAACUCGAGGGACUAUAGUGCAUUGCUUCUUGAGAUGAACCCAGUCUGCAAGAAGCGCCCAAUUCUCAUCCACAAUGGAAAAGCAGUCUGUGAUUCCCUGAUUAUUGUUCAGUACGUUGACGAAGCAUGGAGGGAAAUGCCCCUCUUCUGCCUUCUGAUCCUUACCAGAGAGCCCAGUCCAGAAUCUGGGCAGAUUUUAUUGACAAGAAGGUACGUACGUAUGCAUGGGAACUGGACUUUGCAAGGUCUUUUGUUCUAGGUGCUGUUUAGUCCGCUUUACAAUAUACUGUGCUAUGAAUCUUAAUUUCAGGUGUAUGAGAUUACUAGGAAGAUAUGGACAACGAAAGGAGAAGAACUGGAGGGAGCAAAAAAGGAUUUUAUCGAGUGCCUCAAGCUGCUGGAAGGAGAGCUCGGAGACAAGCCUUAUUACGGCGGAGAGAAGCUUGGGUAUGUGGAUGUGGCGUUCGUUCCUUUCUACUGCUGGUUUUAUGCCUAUGAGAAAUGUGGAAACUUCAACAUAGAGAAAGAGUGCCCCAAGAUCAUUGCAUGGGCUAAGAGAUGCAUGCAAAAGGAGAGUGUAUCCAAGUCUCUUGAAGACCCCAAAAAGGUGUAUGAGUACGUCUUGGAGCGCAGGAAGACGCUUCGGGUGGAUUAAGAGGAAACACAAAUGCAUCCCUGAGCAGACGAUCAGUAUGAUUUCCUCAUGGUGGAGUUGUUUUUUUCUUUCGAAUAAAGCGAGCUCUUCGUGGCUGUGCCUUCUCUUCUGUUGUUCUAUUAUGAUGCUGGAGCAUAGGAGCACAUCGUUGUGACUCGGCCUGGCAGAGUUUGUGUUGUCUUCGGCUCUUUGGCCUGUCUUGUCGUACUGUUUUCACUAUUUAUUAAAAUAAUGUGUUGAGAUUAUUUUACUGGUAGAUGAUUAUGAUAUCUUUAGAACACGGUUGUUUCAUUAAAAAAAUUUAAAAAAAUUAUUUAAAAAAUUAUUCCUGGUUUUAUGCCUAUGAGACCAUCGGAAACUUCAACAUAUAUAGAGGCCGAGUGUCCGAAGCUGAUUGCUUACUGUAAGAGGUGCUUGCAGAAAGAGACUGUAUCCAAGGCCCUUGAAGAUCCACAAAAGGUCUAUGAUUUCGUUCUGAUGCUGAUGAAGACGUUUGGUCUUUAGUAGAAGAAGAAAGAACAACAUGCAGAGGCACGUGCCCUUUCCUGUUAAGAAGUUGUUCUUGUGUUCUGAGUGAUUUAUGUUUUAAAUAAGGAGGGCAGACAGUUAAUGUGCCUGCCUUGUGUUUCCAUGCAUACGUACGUACCCUAUUCGAAUGUGGAAACCACCAAAUCUGGGUUCCUCGUGCCUGACUUGGGAUUUGGUUUUCUCCCCCGUAAAGUUGAACUUCAAGUCGGUGAUUAUGAUAUAAUAUGUAUUAAUUAAUGAAACUUGUGUCAAGAUCUGGUUCGCAGUGAACAACUUCCUGCAACUUUUGUUCUUUUUCUCCAAGCUGCAUUCAUGAUCACUGAUCAUCCUGCAAAGGAGCUGCAGGCUGUGACUCAUCAGGCCUUGUGUAUUUUGGUCAAGGUCCAUUGACUUGGGCUACCUGCUAAUGCUGCACAUGCUAGGAAGUUUUGAGCAUCUGGUAUUGUGGCUGCGCAGCCACAAAUAUUGUUAUUUCAAAUAUUGUUGUUUGGUAAUGGUUUAAAAACAAUUUUUUACUGGUAGGGUCUAUUACCAACUCUGGAUAUGCUACAUGUUUAAGCAGCUUUUUGCUGUUUCUGUGCUGAGAAAACUCAUGAACAGUAGAGCAAGGUUUUGGUGUUCAUGGGUUUCUUCAAUAAACAGUGGAGCAUGCCUUUAUUGUUCCAGGUGGAUCAGUUCGAUUCAAAACUAAAAAUAUAUUAUACUAGGUUUUGACCCAAUAAAAUAAAAAAUAUAUUUUUAUUUAUUUUUAAUUGUGUUUUAUUUGAAAAACUAGUGUUGAAUAUUAUUCAAUGACUCUAUAUAAAUUAGACAGAGAUCGCUUGAUGACGUAGCAUUUGAAAAAUUUGAUCGUAAUUUCAAUUUUGUUCUUGAUUAUAUUUUACCUAAUAUUGUUGUGCUCUUAAAAAAUUUGUGAAAAUUAUAGUCCUUGUCGAAUGUAUUUCAUACGUGAUGGAAUUGUAGAUAGUUUAAUUGAAAAAUAUAAAAUAUUUUAUAUAAACUAUUAUUUAUUUCAUGAUAUAAUAACAAUAGUCAAAUCAACAAUAUUUAAAUUAAAAACCAUCAAUAUUAAUAUAUAUUUUUUUUAAAUUAUUUUAUAACAUCAAUUUCAAAAGCAGUCUUAACCAAACACAUUAAACUAUUUUUUGUUCAACCUCAAUUUCAACUACAGUUUUAAUCAAACAUAUAUUUUUUCAAACUAACCUCAACUAAAAGUACUUUUUAUAAAAACAACUUUUUUCAAACCACAACUACAACAAUUACCGCAAUACCAAACACACCCGAACUUCAAGGCACUGCAGGUAGGGCAACCCUAUGGAGCAUAUCAGGAACGCGGUGCAAAUCAUGUUCUCUUAAAAUUUAAUUUUUAUUUUAAUUUUUUGCAUAAAAUAAAUUUGUUUUAAUACAUGUUUUUAUAUUAUUUUGAUAUGUCGAUAUUAAAAAUUAAAAAAUAUUAUAAUAAUAUAUUUGUAACCGAAAAUCACUUUAAACCGUAUUGCUAUUAUAAUAAUAUAUAGACGCAUAGUUUUCUUCCGAAUCUCAUUUUCUUUUCGAGAAGCCAUUUCUACUUCGUAUAUGAAAUCUUUGAAUUUUAGCAAUCUAAUUCUUCCAGCAAAACUUGCAGGUUAUCAUCCAUGGAAAUUCUUUGCAUGAAAACUAGACAAAUUUAAUGUCUUUAGAUGUAAUUAAAUUCCUUAACUUUUUUUUUAAUAAAAAAUAGACGCAUGGCAAAAACAUUAAAGCUUGAGUAAAGAAUAUAAAGUAUAGUUCAUACUAUUUACUAAUAUCCUUGAUUAGCCUGUAGCUUAGCAACUUAUUCCACGAUUUAUCACAACCACAUACACUCUGCAGAUGAAGAUAGCAAGUCUGCUAUAAAGUCUUGCUUUCUACUAUUUAUGAUCUUAAUUGCCAUAUUUUUUUUCACUUCAACAAUGGCUGAUGAGGUGACACUGUUGAAUUUCUGGGCAAGUAUGAGUGUAGUGAACAGGACUUGAGCAACGGAAAGAGUGAUUUGCUUCUGCAGAUGAACCCAGUCUACAAGAAGAUUCCAGUUCUCGUCCGCAGAGGAAAACUAACCAGUUUGUGAAAAGGUAUGGACAUAUGCCUUUAAUCUUUCUAAAUCUCUAGCCCCCCUUCGAUACAUGCAUCUAUGCUUGCGUGAGGACAAAUAUAUAUAUAUAUAAAUUCCUUUGCUACUGCUAUGUUACAGUAAUAUCAAUUAUGUGCUGUAAAAAUGAAUUCCCAGAUAUUAUUUCAAGAUAUUUUUAUUCUAUAUUCACAGCACUUCUUGUUAUUUUCCUUGUUGUUUUUGCAUCCCAUGUAAAAGGAAUUAAAGAAUGGCCAAACAAAUGAAAAUUGCAACUGGAGUCUCCUCUGUACCACCCGACAAUGCCAAGCUUUCUGGGCAGAAGCAGCUGUAAAGUCUUACAACUUUUAUUUUUUUUGUCAGAGUAAAAAUAACACAACAUAUUAGUUUCAAAGCUUUAAUUUCAUGGGAAGCACAUUAAUUAUCAUAGGCUUCGUUAUGAUACACAGUGUUCUAGUACUGUUCUCCACCGACAAAUAGAGAAUUGAAAAUCUCCAUUUUAUUUAUGCUUUAAUAAAACUAAGCCACUCUCAAUUCCAACAACCCUUCCAUCUGCAUUCUCCUGCAUGGAUAUUGAUCCUGUCUUGUCAAUGGAAGGAGCUGUCCAUCCAAAGAAACCGUAGCCAUUAGGUGCCAUAAAGUCUGUAAACUCUUCUUUGGCUACAUCAAGAACUGCUUUUUAAGUAUCAGAGUCUGAUGCACGGUCACCUCAAUGUUAGUGUUUCUUUGCUUUGGGUAGCUUUUGUAGCCCAUUAUAGUAAUUAUUGAUGAUGUUUUCUAGUAUUGUUUUUUUUAUUAAUUUGUUUUUAAUAAUAAUAUUAAUAAUGUUAUUAUUAGAUAUUUGGUGUUUUUUUUGUUAUGUUCUUGUUUUUUUUUUCUUUUCUUUUUUAUUAAAAAUCAUGUCAGUCUUUUUUACUAUCUACAAAAGUUAAAAAUUAUAUUUACUGCUCACAAGUCAUGAAUACAUUACCAUGUACAAUUUUUUAAAAUAUUUUCAUUGAUGUAUUAAUUUACCAAACUUGAAGCCAUUAUAGCAGCAACGCACCUCAUCAACAGACUACCAUUAAGUAUUCUACAGUUUCAGACUCCAUUAAGUGUUCUUCAAGAUGCCAUAAAAUCACCUACUGUGUCGAAUCUACCACCAAAAGUCUUUGGUUGAACAACAUUUGUUCAUCUCCACAAGCCAUUAAGAAACAAGUUGGAACCUCGGGCACUCAAAUGUGUCUUUGUUGGUUAUGACAACAUAAAAAAGGUUACCAUUGUUAUCAUCCUCCAACCCAUAAACUAUAUGUUACUCUUGAUGUCAUAUUUUAUGAAGAUAAAAUGUAUUACUCCACUCCUGAAAUGAUCAGUGACGAGGACAACCAAGGUAACUUACAGGCUCCCAAAGACAACCCGUAUCACUUGGAUGUUAUAAAUGAAAAUUAUUACACCGAACCUCAGCCACAUGCUUCAAACGAAAUGAUACAACUAGAGCCGCAACCAUAAACUGAAGACCAAACAGAAGUAAGGCAAUCAGAACCUCAGCCAUCAGCUUUCCCCAUGCAUAAUGUGCCAACAAAUCAAGAGACCUUUGAGUAUGAAUCUAUGCACGAACCUCAGGUAAGUUUUGAAACUCAACUUAAAAUUCUACCCCAUAGAACUACACGAGGAAAACCCAGAAAUGACUAAGAACCACUCUUCACUUUUAAACUACAUUACUCUAUGAAUAAUUUUGUAUCCUAUCAUAGGCUGUCUAAGGAAAAUAAAAAUUUUAUGCAACAAUUAUCUGCUAUAUCUAUUUCUAAUAGUGUAUAGGAAGCUCUGAAAGAUCCUAAAUGGAAAGAAGCUAUGAAUGAAGAAAUGAGGUCUCUUCAGAAGAAUUCAACAUGGGAAGUGGUUGACUUACCCAUAGAAAAAUACCGGUUGGAUGCAGGUGGGUGUUUACCAUUAAACAUAAAAUAGAUGGUACCAUUGAAAGAUUUAAAGCAAGGCUGGUUGCCAAAGGAUAUACUCAAACUUACGGGAUUGAUUAUACAGAAACUUUUGCAUCAGUGGCUAAAAUCAAUACUGUACGGAUCCUAAUAUCCCUAGCUGUGAACCUUGAUGGCCCAUAUACCAAUUUGAUGUAAAAAAUACGUUCUUGCAUAGAGAUCUUCAAGAAAAAGUAUAUAUGGAAUUACCUCCUGGAUGUAUAUUGCAAACCCAAGGAAGCACACAUGUAUGCAGACUAAGGAAAUCCUUAUAUGGGUUGAAGCAAUCUCCUAGAGCAUGGUUUAGAAGAUUCACCAAAUUUAUGAAGUCUAUUGGAUACAAACAAAGCAACUCAGAUCAUACCCUUUUCUUAAAAGGAAAUAAAAAGGCAAUCACAACUCUCAUUAUAUACGUUGAUGAUAUGAUAGUUACGAGUAAUGAUCCUGAGGAAAAAGAGGCAUUACAAAUCCAUCUUGCUCAGGAAUUCAAAAUGAAGUCUCUUGGCAAUUUAAAAUACUUCCUUGGCAUUGAAGUAUCAAGAUCGAAAGAAAAAUAUUUAUGUCUCAACGAAAGGAUGCCUUGGAUUUACUAAAAGAAACAGGCAUGACAACAUGUAGCCCAAUCAGUACUCCUAUAGAAGAAAAUCUAAAACUCAGUAUACAUCCACAACAAAUCCCUACUAAUAAAGAGAGAUAUCAAAGACUAGUGGGGAGAUUAAUGUAUCUUGCAUAUACCAAACCUGACUUAGUGUAUGUUUUAAGUGUGAUCAAUCAAUUCAUGCACUCUCCAAGUGAAGAACACAUGAAGUUUGUUACUCGUGUCUUGAGGUACCUGAAAUCAUCUCCAGGUAAAGGAAUUUUGUUUAAGAAAGGAGAAAACUUAAAUAUUGAAGGGUACACCGACGCUGAUUGGGUUGGGUCAAUAGAGGAUCGACUAUCUACAUCCGGAUUUUUACAUUCAUAGAGGGAAAUUUGGUCACUUGGCGAAGUAAAAAACAAGAAGUAGUGGCUAGAUCAUCGGCCAAAGCCGAAUACAAGGGGAUGGCUAAGGCAAUUUGCAAGUUAUUAUGGAUCAGGAAUCUGAUGCAAGAAUUACUUGUUGAACAGACAAAUGCUAUGAAAUUAUAUUGUGAUAGUAAGGCGGCAUGUGAUAUCGCCCAUAACCCUGUCCAACAUGAUAGGACUAAACACGUUGAGGUGGAUACACAUUUUAUCAAAGAAAAAAUUAAAAGAAAAAUACUUCAUGUUCGAUCUUAAGAACAACUUGCCGAUGUGUUAACCAAGGCAGUGUCUAGCCAAAGUUUUAAUCAUUGUCUCAACAAGUUGGGCAUAUAUGAUAUCUAUGCACCAACUUUAGAAUAGGAAUUGUUUCCGUAAGGUUAAUGGAUAGAUUAAUUAAUAAUAUUAUGUACAUAAACUACCUCUGCUGUUAUAUAAAGAGGAUAGCCUUGUAACAUUAAUUUAAUGAAAUUGAAUAUACUGAAUAAAAGAUCAAUACUGAAUGCUAAAUUUAUCAGUUUCCACAUUCGAGCUUCCCAUGACACUGACAUAUGGAACCAUGGCAAAAACAAAUCGUAUGUAAAUUGACUUGAAAUUACCAAAGCUAUCCUUAGUUUUCUUCAGGCAAAAACUGAAAAAGUUUGUUGGCAAGAUUAUUGCUUACUUUGAAUAAUAAUAAUAAAAAAAUAUCACUUAAGAAAUACUCUCGUUAUCAUAUGUUUUAUUUUCCCUACACAAUCCCAUUAAUAAAAUAUAUAUUGAUCGUACAUAAUAUGAAUUCCAGUGAUAAUUUCUCAUAUUUAUGAAUAAUUAUCUCAUUUUGUCAGGGUAAUUAACUCUGAGAUUUCAGGAAUCAUUGACCGGUUGGUGUGAUGUAGUUGAAGACAUAGAAAGGAACAAACAUGAAAAUGCGUUAUGGUAUCCAAUUGCCCACUGGGCACUGCACAGCACAUUUUCCACUUAUUUAUUUCCGCAACAUCUUUCUGCAAAGAUAGAUAUGCUAUAAAGAUUCCUACUCUCCACUGUCAAGAGCACAGCCAUUCUGAAAGGCGAGAAAAAACUAUCUGUGAUUCAGUUUUACUCCUUUUCACAACAACAAUGGCUGAUGAGGUUACACUGCUGGAUUUCUGGUCAAGCCCUUUUGGUAUAAGAGUGAGAAUAGCAAUGGCAGAGAAGGGAGUCAAGUAUGAGUACAGUGAACAGGACUUGACGGACAAGAGUGCAUUGCUUCUUCAGAUGAACCCAGUCUACAAGAAGAUUCCAGUUCUCGUCCACAGAGAAAAAUUAACCAGUUUGUGAAUCCCUUAUUAUUCUUCAGUACAUUGAUGAUGUGUGGAGGGACAAGGCUCCUUAAUUUGCUACCUUCUGAUCCUCAUGAAAGAGCUCGGUCCAUGUUCUGGGCUGAUUUUAUUGAUAAAAAGGUAUGGAUAUAUACCUUUAAUCUUGCUAAAUCUUUGGUCCCCCUUCGAUACAUGCAUCCAUGCUUGCGUGAGGACAAAUAUAUUUUCCUUUGCUACUGCUAUGUUACAGUAAUAUCAAUUAUGUGCUGUAAAAAUGAAUUCCCAGAUAUUAUUUCAAGAUAUUUUUAUUCUAUAUUCACAGCACUUCUUGUUAUUUUCCUUGUUGUUUUUGCAUCCCAUGUAAAAGGAAUUAAACAAUGGCCACACAAAUGAAAAUUGCAACUGGAGUCUCCUCUGUACCGCCCGACAAUGCCAAGCUUCUGGGCAGAAGCAGCUGUAAAGUCUAAGAACUUCUAGUUUUUUUGUUAGAGUAAAAAGAACACAAGAUAUUAGUUUCAAAGCUUUAAUUUCAUGGGAAGCACAUUAAUUAUCAUAGGCUUCGUUAUGCUACACAGUGUAAACUGUAAACUGUGCUUCGUGUGAAUUAAAAAAUAUAUUAGUUCUAAAGCUUUUUCAUGCGAAGAACCAUUUGCAUCACAGAAGCACUGCGUAGUACUGUUCUCCACUAGCAAUCUGGUCUUGGUUUAAGAAAAGACCAUCAACAAAUAGAGAAUUGAAAAUCUGCAUUUUAUUUAUGCUUUAAUAAAACUAAGCCACUCUCAAUUCCAACCCUUCCAUCUGCAUUCUCCUGUCUUCUUAUCAAUGGAAGGAGUCUCCACCUUCCUAGGCAUACCCCACCCAAAGAAACCGUAGCCAUAAACUCUGCAAGCUCUUCUUUGGCUUCAUCAAGAACAAUAAUUUGAUGUUCACAAAUAUGUUGUUGACACGUGAAUAGUCAGUUCUCAAGAACAAUAAUUUGAUGUUCAAAAAUGAUUGCAAGUUUUUUUAAAAAAAACGUUUCGAGCCCAGAUUUGGUUGUUUCCACAUUCGAGCUUCCCGUGACUCUGACACAUGGACCCAUGGCAAAAACAAAUCGUGUAUAAAUUGACUUGAAAUUACCAAAGCUAUCCUUAGUUUUCUUUGGGCAAAACCUGAUAAAGUUUCAAAUCUAAGGACACAACCUCGAUUAGGUUUUCAUUUUCUCAAUUUGGUUUCCAAUAUAUCUAUAAAUUUUUAAUUUAAAUAAAUUCAAGUAGCUUGAAAACAAAAUUUAUAUAUAUAUUAAAUAAUUAAUUAAUUUUAUGAUGCUUAAAUAGUUGGUAGUUAGGAUCUAGUAUCCGCAAAAUGGUUUUUUAGUGAAUUAAUGAAUUUUUUUAUGCUUAAAUUAAAAAAAAUUACAAUGAUAUUUUAAAAAAAACCUCAAAAAAUAAAUAUCAAGUGGAGAACAAAGACUCAAAACCCCUAUUUUAAAAAUUUUAAUUAAUCUUUAUAACUCAUCGUCUUCUUUAUUAAAGAGAAAAAAUAUUUGAUUUGAUCAAAGAAAAAUAUCCUUGAUUUGAUUAGAGGAAAAAAAAUAUUUAUACACAUGGACUUUGCAUUUGGUUUAGCCUAAAAGAGUUGAGUUUAACAAAUAAUUAAACCAAUAUAUAAUUAAUUGGGUUCAAUGCUUGACAAAACUUGGAAGAAUUGGUACGAUAAAUUGUUAUACUCUUUUUAUUUAAGAAAGUAUCUCUUAAAUUGUGAACCCUAAAUAUAAGAAAAGGAAAUUAAGAAAGUAGAUGGUUUUUUAUAGGAAAGAGAAAUCACCAGUUUCAUGAAAUGAAUAUUAAAUAGUUUUAUUAACUAGAAAAUGAUGAAAGGAAUAUAUAAUUUAGAAUCCAUUGAUAUAUAUGGUGAAAAACUAAUUUAGAUAAGAAAUAGAUUGGAUAUCUAGUUAAGAUUUUUCAUAUAAGUUAGGGAUUUAAUUUUACAAGGUUUGCACUUUCCCUUAUAUAUGCUCUUAACCAAUUUACCAACAUAAUAAUUAUAAUUUCUUUUGAUAUAUAUUUUUGAACUAAAAGUAUAAAUAUAAUUAUUGCAUGCAUAUUCGAUAUCAAAUCAUCAACUACAUUUAUGUACCAGCUGGUAACCACAUUAAUAAUAUAAAUCCAUAUACGAGGGCUUAAUUAUUAAAAAAAAAAGAUUAAAGACAAUCCUACUCAAAGAUAGUUUGUUGGCAAGAUUAUUGCUUUAAAUAAUAAUAAUAAUAAUAAUAAUAAUAAUAAUAAUAAUAAUAAUAAUAAAAAUCACAUAAGAAAUACUCUCGUUAUCAUAUUUAUUUUAGUUUCCCAACACAAUCCCCUUAAUAAAAUUGAUCGUACAUAAUAUGAUUUCCGGUUAUAAUUUCUCAAAUUUAUGAAUAAUUAUCUCAUUUUGUCAGGGGUAAUUAACUCUGAGAUUUCCUUGUCUAUUUUUCAGGAAUCAUUGACUGGAUGGCGUGAUUUAGUUGAAGACAUAGAAAGGAACAAACAUGAAACUGUGAUAUGGUAUCUAAUUGCCCCCUGGGCAGUACGAGCACAACACAUUUUCCACUUGUUUAUUUCUACCACAUCUUUCUGCAAGGAUAGAUAUGCUAUAAAGAUUUCUACUCUCCAUUGUCAAGAGCACAGCCAUUCUGAAAGACGAGAAAAAACUAUCUGUGAUUCAGUUUUACUCCUUUUCACAACAACAAUGGCUGAUGAGGUGACACUAGCGCCGGAACCUUUUGCAGGCUCUCCUUUUGGUGUAAGAGUGAGAAUAGCAUUGGCAGAGAAGGGAGUCAAGUAUGAGUACAGUGAACAGAACUUGGGGGACAAGAGUGAAUCGCUUGUUGAGAUGAACCCAGUCUACAAGAAGCGCCCACUUCUCAUCCACAAUGGAAAAGCAGUCUGUGAGUCCCUGAUUAUUGUUCAGUAUGUUGACGAAGCAUGGAAGGGAAAGGCCCCUCUUCUGCCUUCCGAUCCUUACCAGAGAGCCCAGUCCAGAAUCUGGGCAGAUUUUAUUGACAAGAAGGUACGUACGUAUGCAUGGGAACUGCACUUUGCAAGGUCUUUAAUUUGUUCUAGGUGCUGUUUAGUCCGCUUUACAAUAUACUGUGCUAUGAAUCUUAAUGUCAGGUAUAUGAGAUUACUUGGAAGAUAUGGACAACGAAAGGAGAAGAACUGGAGGGAGCAAAAAAGGAUUUUAUCGAGUGCCUCAAGCUGCUGGAGGGAGAGCUCGGAGACAAGCCUUAUUACGGCGGAGAUAAGCUUGGGUAUAUGGAUGUGGCGUUCGUUCCUUUCUACUGCUGGUUUUAUGCCUAUGAGAAAUGUGGAAACUUCAACAUAGAGGCAGAGUGCCCCAAGAUCAUUGCAUGGGCUAAGAGAUGCAUGCAAAAGGAGAGUGUAUCCAAGUCUCUUGAAGACCCAAAAAAGGUGUACGAGUACGUCUUGGAGCGCAGGAAGAGGCUUGAGGAAACACAAAUGCAUCCGUGAGCAGACGAUCAGUAUGAUUUCCUCUGUUGUUUUUCUUUCGAAUAAAGCGAGCUCUUCGUGGCUGUGCCUUCUCUUCUGUUGUUCUAUUAUGAUGCUGGAGCAUAGGAGCACAUCGUUGUGACUCGGCCUGGCAGAGUUUGUGUUGUCUUCGGCUCUUUGGCCUGUCUUGUCGUACUGUUUUCACUAUUUAUUAAAAUAAUGUGUUGAGAUUAUUUUACUGGUAGAUGAUUAUGAUAUCUUUAGAACACGGUUGUUUCAUUAAAAAAUUUUAAAAAAAUUAUUUAAAAAAUUAUUCCUGGUUUUAUGCCUAUGAGACCAUCGGAAACUUCAACAUAUAUAGAGGCCGAGUGUCCGAAGCUGAUUGCUUACUGUAAGAGGUGCUUGCAGAAAGAGACUGUAUCCAAGGCCCUUGAAGAUCCACAAAAGGUCUAUGAUUUCGUUCUGAUGCUGAUGAAGACGUUUGGUCUUUAGUAGAAGAAGAAAGAACAACAUGCAGAGGCACGUGCCCUUUCCUGUUAAGAAGUUGUUCUUGUGUUCUGAGUGAUUUAUGUUUUAAAUAAGGAGGGCAGACAGUUAAUGUGCCUGCCUUGUGUUUCCAUGCAUACGUACGUACCCUAUUCGAAUGUGGAAACCACCAAAUCUGGGUUCCUCGUGCCUGACUUGGGAUUUGGUUUUCUCCCCGUAAAGUUGAACUUCAAGUCGGUGAUUAUGAUAUAAUAUGUAUUAAUUAAUGAAACUUGUGUCAAGAUCUGGUUGGCAGUGAACAACUUCCUGCAACUUUUGUUCUUUUUCUCCAAGCUGCAUUCAUGAUCACUGAUCAUCCUGCAAAGGAGCUGCAGGCUGUGACUAGGAAGUUUUGAGCAUCUGGUAUUGUGGCUGCGCAGCCACAAAUAUUGUUAUUUCAAAUAUUGUUGUUUGGUAAUGGUCUAAAAACAAUUUUUUACUGGUAGGGUCUAUUACCAACUCUGGAUAUGCUACAUGUUUAAGCAGCUUUUUGCUGUUUCUGUGCUGAGAAAACUCAUGAACAGUGGAGCAUGACUUUGCUGUUCAUGGAUUUUCUUCAAUAAACAGUGGAGCAUGUCUUCACUGUUCCAGCUGAAUCAGUUCGAUUCAAAACUAAAAAUAUAUUAUAUUAGGUUUUGACCCAACAAAAUAAAAAAAAAAAUAUUUUUUAUUUUUAAUUAUAUUUUAUUUGAAAAACUAGUGUUAAAUAUUAUUCAAUGACUCUACAUAAAUUAGACAGAGAUCACUUGAUGACGUAGUAUUUGAAGAAUUUGAUCGCAAUUUCAAUUUUCUUCCUGAUUAUAUUUUACCUAAUAUUGUUGUGCUCUUAAGAAAUUUGUGAAAAUUAUAGUCCUUGUCGAAUGUAUUUCAUACGUGAUGGAAUUGUAGAUAGUACUUUAAUUGAAAAAUAAAAAAUAUUUUAUAUAAACUAUUAUUUAUUUCAUGAUAUAAUAGCAAUAGUCAAAUCAACAAUAUUUAAAUUAAAAAUCAUCAAUAUUAAUAUAUAUUUUUUAAAAAUUAUUUUAUAACAUCAAUUUCAAAAGCAUUCUUAACCAAACACAUUAAACUAUUUUUUGUUCAACCUCAAUUUCAACUACAGUUUUAAUCAAACGUAUAUUUUUUCAAACUAACCUCAAUUAAAAGUACUUUUUAUAAAAAUAUAACUUUUUUCAAAACACAACCAAAACAAUUACCGCAAUACCAAACACACCCGAACUUCAAGGCACUGCAGGUAGGGCAACCCUAUGGAGCAUAUCUGGAAUGCGGUGCAAAUCAUGUUCUCUUAAAAUUUAAUUUUUAUUUUAAUUUUUUGCAUAAAAUAAAUUUGUUUUAAUACAUGUUUUUAUAUUAUUUUGAUAUGUCGAUAUUAAAAAAUAAAAAAUACUAUAAUAAUACAUUUCUAACCGAAAAUCACUUUAAACGGUACUGCUAUUAUAAUAAUAUAUAGACGCAUAGUUUUCUUCCGAAUCUCAUUUUCUUGUCGAGAAGCCAUUUCUACUUCGUAUAUGAAAUCUUUGAAUUUUGGCAAUCUAAUUCUUCCAGCAAAACUUGCAGGUUAUCAUCCAUGGAAAUUCUUUGCAUGAAAACUAGACAAAUUUAAUGUCUUUAGAUGUAAUUAAAUUCCUUAACUUUUUUUUUAAUAAAAAAUAGACGCAUGGCAAAAACAUUAAAGCUUGAGUAAAGAAUAUAAAGUAUAGUUCAUACUAUUUACUAAUAUCCUUGAUUAGCCUGUAGCUUAGCAACUUAUUCCACGAUUUAUCACAACCACAUACACUCUGCAGAUGAAGAUAGCAAGUCUGCUAUAAAGUCUUGCUUUCUACUAUUUAUGAUCUUAAUUGCCAUAUUUUUUUUCACUUCAACAAUGGCUGAUGAGGUGACACUGUUGAAUUUCUGGGCAAGUAUGAGUGUAGUGAACAGGACUUGAGCAACGGAAAGAGUGAUUUGCUUCUGCAGAUGAACCCAGUCUACAAGAAGAUUCCAGUUCUCGUCCGCAGAGGAAAACUAACCAGUUUGUGAAAAGGUAUGGACAUAUGCCUUUAAUCUUGCUAAAUCUCUAGCCCCCCUUCGAUACAUGCAUCUAUGCUUGCGUGAGGACAAAUAUAUAUAUAUAAAUUCCUUUGCUACUGCUAUGUUACAGUAAUAUCAAUUAUGUGCUGUAAAAAUGAAUUCCCAGAUAUUAUUUCAAGAUAUUUUUAUUCUAUAUUCACAGCACUUCUUGUUAUUUUCCUUGUUGUUUUUGCAUCCCAUGUAAAAGAAUUCAAGAAUGGCCAAACAAAUGAAAAUUGCAACUGGAGUCUCCUCUGUACCACCCGACAAUGCCAAGCUUUCUGGGCAGAAGCAGCUGUAAAGUCUAAGAACUUUUAGUUUUUUUGUCAGAGUAAAAAGAACACAAGAUAUUAGUUUCAAAGCUUUAAUUUCAUGAGAAGCACAUUAAUUAUCAUAGGCUUCGUUAUGCUACACAGUGUUCUAGUACUGUUCUCCACCGACAAAUAGAGAAUUGAAAAUCUCCAUUUUAUUUAUGCUUUAAUAAAACUAAGCCACUCUCAAUUCCAACAACCCUUCCAUCUGCAUUCUCCUGCAUGGAUAUUGAUCCUGUCUUGUCAAUGGAAGGAGCUGUCCAUCCAAAGAAACCGUAGCCAUUAGGUGCCAUAAAGUCUGUAAACUCUUCUUUGGCUACAUCAAGAACUGCUUUUUAAGUAUCAGAGUCUGAUGCACGGUCACCUCAAUGUUAGUGUUUCUUUGCUUUGGGUAGCUUUUGUAGUCCAUUAUAGUAAUUAUUGAUGAUGUUUUCUAGUAUUGUUUUUUUUAUUAAUUUGUUUUUAAUAAUAAUAUUAAUAAUGUUAUUAUUAGAUAUUUGGUGUUUUUUUUGUUAUGUUCUUGUUUUUUUUUUCUUUUCUUUUUUAUUAAAAAUCAUGUCAGUCUUUUUUACUAUCUACAAAAGUUAAAAAUUAUAUUUACUGCUCACAAGUCAUGAAUACAUUACCAUUUACAACUUUCCAUGUUAUUUUUUAAAAUGUUUUCAUUGAUGUAUUAAUUUACCAAACUUGAAGCCAUUAUAGCAGCAACAUACCUCAUCAACAGACUACCAUUAAGUAUUCUACAGUUUCAGACUUCAUUAAGUGUUCUUCAAGAUGCCAUAAAAUCACCUACUGUGUCGAAUCUACCACCAAAAGUCUUUGGUUGAACAACAUUUGUUCAUCUCCACAAGCCAUUAAAAAACAAGUUGGAACCUCGGGCACUCAAAUGUGUCUUUGUUGGUUAUGACAACAUAAAAAAGGUUACCAUUGUUAUCAUCCUCCAACCCAUAAACUAUAUGUUACUCUUGAUGUCAUAUUUUAUGAAGAUAAAAUGUAUUACUCCACUCUUGAAAUGAUCAGUGAUGAGGACAACCAAGGUAACUUACAGGCUCCCAAAGACAACCUGUAUCACUUGGAUGUUAUAAAUGAAAAUUAUUACACCGAACCUCAGCCACAUGCUUCAAACGAAAUGAUACAACUGAGCCGCAACCAUAAACUGAAGACCAAACAGAAGUAAGGCAAUCAGAACCUCAGCCAUCAGCUUUCCCAUGCAUAAUGUGCCAACAAAUCAAGAGACCUUUGAGUAUGAAUCUAUGCACGAACCUCAGGUAAGUUUUGAAACUCAACUUAAAAUUCUACCCCAUAGAACUACACGAGGAAAACCCAGAAAUGACUAAGAACCACUCUUCACUUUUAAACUACAUUACUCUAUGAAUAAUUUUGUAUCCUAUCAUAGGCUGUCUAAGGAAAAUAAAAAUUUUAUGCAACAAUUAUGCUAUAUCUAUUUCUAAUAGUGUACAGGAAGUCUGAAAGAUCCUAAAUGGAAAGAAGCUAUGAAUGAAGAAAUGAGGUCUCUUCAGAAGAAUUCAACAUGGGAAGUGGUUGACUUACCCAUAGAAAAAAUACCGGUUGGAUGGAGGUGGGUGUUUACCAUUAAACAUAAAAUGGAUGGUACCAUUGAAAGAUUUAAAGCAAGGCUGGUUGCCAAAGGAUAUACUCAAACUUACGGAUUGAUUAUACAGAAACUUUUGCAUCAGUGGCUAAAAUCAAUACUGUACGGAUCCUAAUAUCCUAGCUGUGAACCUUGACUGGCCCAUAUACCAAUUUGAUGUAAAAAAUAUGUUCUUGCAUAGAUCUUCAAGAAAAGUAUAUAUGGAAUUACCUCCUGGAUGUAUAUUGCAAACCCAAGGAAGCACACAUGUAUGCAGACUAAGGAAAUCCUUAUAUGGGUUGAAGCAAUCUCCUAGAGCAUGGUUUAGAAGAUUCACCAAAUUUAUGAAGUCUAUUGGAUACAAACAAAGCAACUCAGAUCAUACCCUUUUCUUAAAAGGAAUAAAAAGGCAAUCACAACUCUCAUUAUAUACGUUGAUGAUAUGAUAGUUACGAGUAAUGAUCCUGAGGAAAAAGAGGCAUUACAAAUCCAUCUUGCUCAGGAAUUCAAAAUGAAGUCUCUUGGCAAUUUAAAAUACUUCCUUGGCAUUGAAGUAUCAAGAUCGAAAGAAGAAUAUUUCUGUCUCAACGAAAGGAUGCCUUGGAUUUACUAAAGAAACAGCAUGACAGCAUGUAGCCCAAUCAGUACUCCUAUAGAAGAAAAUCUAAACUCAGUAUACAUCCACAACAAAUCCCUACAAUAAAGAGAGAUAUCAAAGACUAGUGGGGAGAUUAAUGUAUCUUGCAUAUACCAAACCUGACUUAGUGUAUGUUUUAAGUGUGAUCAGUCAAUUCAUGCACUCUCUAAGCGAAGAACACAUGAAGUUUGUUACUCGUGUCUUGAGGUACCUGAAAUCAUCUCCAGGUAAAGAAAUUUUGUUUAAGAAAGGAGAAAACUUAAAUAUUGAAGGGUACACCGACGCUGAUUGGGUUGGGUCAAUAGAGGAUCGACUAUCUACAUCCGGAUAUUUUACAUUCAUAGAGGGAAAUUUGGUCACUUGGCGAAGUAAAAAACAAGAAGUAGUGGCUAGAUCAUCGACCAAAGCCGAAUACAAGGGGAUGGCCAAGGCAAUUUGCAAGUUAUUAUGGAUCAGGAAUCUAAUGCAAGAAUUACCUGUUGAACAGACAAAUGCUAUGAAAUUAUAUUGUGAUAGUAAGGCGGCAUGUGAUAUCGCCCAUAACCCUGUCCAACAUGAUAGGACUAAACACGUUGAGGUGGAUACACAUUUUAUCAAAGAAAAAAUUAAAAGAAAAAUACUUCAUGUUCGAUUUUAAGAACAACUUGCCGAUGUGUUAACCAAGGCAGUGAAAAUUGCAAUUGGAGUCUCCUCUGUACCACCCGACAAUGCCAAGCUUUCUGGGCAGAAGCAGCUGUAGAUGGAACAAAGAAACCGUAGCCACAAACUCUGCAAACUCUUCUUUGGCUUCAUCAAGAACAAUAAUUUGAUGUUCAGAAAUAUGUUGUUGACACGUGAAUAGUCAGUUCUCAAGAACAAUAAUUUGAUGUUAAAAAAUUAUUGCAAGUUUUUUUUUAAAAAAAAAAAAAAAAACGUUUCGAGCCCAGAUUUGGUUGUUUCCACAUUCGAGCUUCCCGUGACACUGACACAUGGACCCAUGGCAAAAACAAAUCGUGUAUAAAUUGACUUCAAAUUACCAAAGCUAUCCUUAGUUUUCUUUAGGCAAAACCUGAUAAAGUUUCAGAUCUAAGGACACAACCUCGAUUAGGUUUCCAAAAUUUUCAUUUUCUCAAUUUGGUUUCCAAUAUAUCUAUAAAUUUUUAAUUUAAAUAAAUUCAAGUAGCUUGAAAACAAAAUUAAUUAUAUAUUAAAUAAUUAAUUAAUUUUAUUAUUUAAAUAAUCUAAUUCAUUCUCUCUAAUUAAGAUAGUUGAUAGUUAAGAUCUAGUAUCCGCAAAAAGUUUUUUUUAGUGAAUUAAUAAAAAAAUUUAUGCUUAAAUUAAAAAAAUAUACAAUGAUAUUUUAAGGAAAAUCUCAAAAAAUAAAUAUCUAGUGGAGAACAAAGACUCAAAACCCUUUCUUUGAAGAAUUUUAAUUGGUUUUUAUAACUCAUCAUCUUCUUUGUUAAAGAGAAAAAAUAUUUGACUUGAUCAAAGAAAAAUAUCCUCGAUAGGAAAAAAAUAUUUAUACACAUGGACUUUGCGUUUGGUUUAGCCUAGAAGAGUUGAGUUUAACAAAUCAUCGAACCAAUAUAUAAUUGGAUUCAACGCUUGACAAAGCUUGGAAGAACUGGUCUGAUAAAUUGUUAUACUCUUUUCAUUUAAAAAAAUAUCUCUUAAAUUGUGAACCCUAAAUAUAAGGAAAGGAAAUUAAGAAAGUAGAUGGUUUUUUUUAGGAAAGAGAAAUCACCAGUUUCAUGAAAUGAAUAUUACAUAGUCUUAUUAACUAGAAAAUGAUGAAAGACUAUAAUUUAGAAUCCAUUGAUAUAUAUAUAUAUAUAUAUAUAUAUAUGUUGAAAAACUAAUUUAGAUGAGAAAUAGAUUGGAUAUCUAAUUAAGAUUUUUCAUAUAAGUUAGGGAUUUAAUUUUACAAGGUUUGAACUUUCCCUUAUAUAUGCUCUUAACCAAUUUACCAACAUAAUAAUUUUAAUUUCUUUUGAUAUAUAUUUUUGAACUAAAAGUAUAAAUAUAAUUCUUGCAUGCAUAUUCGAUAUCAAAUCAUCAACUACAUGUAUGUACCAGCUGGUAACCACAUUAAUAAUAUAAAUCCAUAUACGAGGGACUUAAUUAUUAAAAAAAAAAGAUUAAAGACAAUCCUAAUCAAAGAUAGUUUGUCGGCAAGAUUAUUGCUUUAAAUAAUAAUAAAAUCACAUAAGAAAUACUCUCGUUAUCAUAUAUAUUUUAUUUUCCCAACACAAUCCCCUUAAUAAAAUUGAUCGUACAUAAUAUGAUUUCCGGUUAUAAUUUCUCAAAUUUAUGAAUAAUUAUCUCAUUUUGUCAGGGGUAAUUAACUCUGAGAUUUCCUUGUCUAUUUUUCAUGAAUCAUUGACUGGAUGGCGUGAUUUAGUUGAAGACAUAGAAAGGAACAAACAUGAAACUGUGAUAUGGUAUCUAAUUGCCCCCUGGGCAGUACGAGCACGGCACAUUUUCCACUUGUUUAUUUCUACCACAUCUUUCUGCAAGGAUAGAUAUGCUAUAAAGAUUUCUGCUCUCCACUAUCAAGAGCACAGCCAUUCUGAAACGCGAGAAAAAACUAUCUGUGAUUCAGUUUUACUCCUUUUCACAACAACAAUGGCUGAUGAGGUGACACUAGCGCCGGAACGUUUUGCAGGCUCCCCUCUUAGUGUAAGAGUGAGAAUAGCAUUGGCAGAGAAGGGAGUCAAGUACGAGUACAGUGAUGAGAACUCCAGGGACUAUAGUGCAUUGCUUCUUGAGAUGAACCCAGCCUGCAAGAAUCGCCCAAUUCUCAUCCACAAUGGAAAAGCAGUCUGUGAUUCCCUGAUUAUUGUUCAGUAUGUUGACGAAGCAUGGAAGGGAAAGGCCCCUCUUCUGCCUUCCGAUCCUUACCAGAGAGCCCAGUCCAGAUUCUGGGCAGAUUUUAUUGACAAGAAGGUACGUACGUAUGCAUGGGAACUGGACUCUGCAAAGGUCUUUUGUUCUAGGUGCUGUUUAGUUCGCUUUACAAUAUACUGUGCUAUGAAUCUUCAUUUCAGGUAUAUGAGAGUACUUGGAAGAUAUGGACAACGAAUGGAAAAGAACUGGAGGGAGCAAAAAAGGAUUUUAUCGAGUGCCUCAAGCUGCUGGAAAGAGAGCUCGGAGACAAGCCUUAUUACGGCGGAGAGAAGCUUGGGUAUGUGGAUGUGGCGUUCGUUCCUUUCUACUGCUGGUUUUAUGCCUAUGAGAAAUGUGGAAACUUCAGCAUAGAGAAAGAGUGCCCCAAGAUCAUUGCAUGGGCUAAGAGAUGCAUGCAAAAGAAGAGUGUAUCCAAGUCUCUUGAAGACCCAAAAAAGGUGUACGAGCACGUCUUGGAGCGCAGGAAGACGCUUCGGGUGGAUUAAGAGGAAACACAAAUGCAUCCCUGAGCAGACGAUCAGUAUGAUUUCCUCAUGGUGGAGUUGUUUUUCUUUCGAAUAAAGCGAGCUCUUCGUGGCUGUGCCUUCUCUUCUGUUGUUUCUAUUGUGAUGCUGGAGCAUAGGAGCACAUCGUUGUGACUCGGCCUGGCAGCGUUUGUGUUGUUUUCGGCUCUUUGCCCUGUCUUGUUGUACUGUUUUCACUAUUUAUUAAAAUAAUGUGUUGAGAUUAUUUUACUGGUAGAUGAUUAUGAUAUCUUUAGAACACGGUUGUUUCAUUAAAAAAAUUUUAAAAAAAUUAUUUAAAUUUUACUUUUUUAUAUUUUUAGAUUAUUUUAAUAUAUUAGUAUUAAAAAUAAUUUUUACAAAUUACUAUUAAUGUAUUUUUAAAUGCACUCUAUAACAAAAGAGAUGCCCUCUCAAGCAAUUCAACACCCCAUAAAUUUUUUUAAUAAAUAGGAAAGACAAAGGACAAGUACACAAUGGUAAUCAAUUACUAAUUCUAUCCAAUUAACUUUGCCUUUUCAAAUGAAAUUUUUUAAUUUUUUUAAGUUUUUAAUUAAUUUUUUAUGUUUAUAAAUUGUUUAAACAUACUAAUAUUAAAGAUAAAAUUUAAAUUAUAAAAUAAAAAUAUUAUUUAUAUAUUUUUAAAUAAAAAAUAUUUUUUAAAAUAAUAUUUAUCACAUGAGUAAUAGUUUCGACAACUUUCAGUGAGAUGUGAUAAUUGAGUUGAGAAUAUUAAUUAUAACUUGAUUAAAUAUAUUAUAUUUUUUAAUAUGUUUUUGUUCAUGUAAUUUUACUAGAAAUUUAGUUUUACUGCUCAGGUGUUGCUCUUCAUAAAUUUAAGAAUUUUUAAAUAUAAAGAUCAUCCAAUGAAAUAUCGUAAUUUUUAAAUAUUAAAAUUUUUAUUUACAUUAAUUUAGUAUGUUAAAUUAAUAUUUAAUUACUUUUUUAGUAUUGAAUUAUAUUGUAACAUUAUUAUAAAUCUAGAUUCGUGUUGAAAAUCUAAAAUUUUAAAUUUUUUAUGUAUGUUAUAAAAUCCUCUUAUAAAUUAGACAAACACAAAAUAAAACCUUAUUUUUAUCAUCUUUGUACUCUGGAUAACAAUCAUUAUCAAAUCAACUAGACGUAGCUUAAUUUAAGACAAGUUUUAAGGAGGGAGUUAGAGAUUUUUAUUUUUAUUUUUUCCUAGAGCCCAUUGAGGAUUGGAGGAUAAUUAGAGAUAAACUAGAUGCCAUGCCCUGUGUGAUGUUACGGGUUUGUGAUAUGUUUGUACGUUGUUAUGGGUUUGUGGAAAAAAUAAAAAAAUAUUAUAUGGAGAAAAACUAUUGCAAUCCACAAUGUUUUUAAAGAAAAAAUUACAAAGUUAAAUUCUUAACUAGAUUAAUAUUUAAAAAGUAAAAUGAACAAAGAAAUUUUUUUAAAAAAAUCAUAACAAAAAAAACCUAAAGGAAAAAAAAAUCAUGCAGGAAAAUGUUAUAGCAAUUUAUAGUGUUUUAUGAGAAAAUCUACAGUUGUAAUUCUCAACCAGCUCAAUAUUAAAAAUAAUAAAAUUGAUAAAGAUAUUUUUAAAAAAAAUCAUAAAAAAAAAAUUAUGUGGAGAAACAUUGUCGCAAUUCACAGUGGUUUAAAGAAAAAAAAAACUAUAAAGCUAAAUUCUUAACUAGCUCAAUGUGAAAAAAAUAAUUGACAAAGACAAUUCUGGAAAAAAAAAUCAUAAAAAAGAGAAAAAAAACCAUGUGUAGAAACACUAUAGCAAUCCUCGGUGUUGGGAAAUAAAGAAAAAAAGAAGCAUGUAAAGCCAAAAAUAGGGGAAAAAAGAAAAACUACAAAACUAAAAUUUUAACCAGUUUCAUAUUAAAAAAAUAAAAUCAAUAAAAACAAUUCUAAAAAGAAAACAUUAAAAAAAUGGAAAAGAAAAAAGAAAAAAAAUUUGGGAAAAAAAAGAAAAACAAAUGGAAAAAAAAACAUGUGGGGAAAUCUACAGUUGUAAUUAUCAACCAACUCAAUAUUAAAAACAAUUCGACAAAAAUAAUUUUGAAUAAAAACAUAUAGAAAACCUUGUAGAAAAACAAAAACUAUGCAGGGAAAUCAUGUAGAUAACUAUUGUAGUAAUUUAUAAUAUUUUAAAUUAAUAAAAAGAACUUUAAAACUAAAUUUUUAACUAAUUUAAUAUUAAAAAAAAUUGACAAAAAUAACUAUGGUUGAAUGCUUUUGGUCGUGAAUAUCUUUUCAUGCUCUGAAACAUUAUUCUAAAUAUAAUGUUUGCUUACUUUUUUAUUAAUAUCAUUGAUUAGCCUAUAGCUUAGUAACUUUUUCCACGAUUUAUAACAACCACAUACACUCCGCAGAUGAAGAUAGCAAGUCUGAUAUAAAGUCUUGCUUUCUACUAUUUAUGAUCAUAAUUGCCAUAUUUUUUUUCACUUCAACAAUGGCUGAUGAGGUGACACUGUUGAAUUUCUGGGCAAGUAUUAGUGCAGUGGACAGGACUUGAGCAACGGAAAGAGUGAUUUGCUUCUUCAGAUGAACCCAGUUUACAAGAAGAUUCCAGUUCUCGUCCACAGAGGAAAACUAAGCUUCUGAUCCUCAUGAAAGAGCUCGGUCCAUGUUCUUGGCUGAUUUUAUUGAUAAAAAGGUAUGGACAUAUGCCUUUAAUCUUGCUAAAUCUCGGGCCCCCCUUCGAUACAUGCAUCUAUGCUUGCGUGAGCACUUCUUGUUAUUUUCCUUCUUGUUUCUGCAUCCCUCCUUUCGAGGAAGAACCUAGCUGUUGAAUCCUGGUGGAUAAUAAUUUUAUGUGGGUAAAUAUAUUGUUUGUGUAUGUUAGAGAAUUAAUAUAAAUUAUAUUCUGGGAUUUUAUCUAAUAGUUUAAGUUAUUAAGUUGAGAUGAUUUUUUGACAUGAUAUUAGAGCCUUGAUGACCAAGUGGUCAUGAGUUUAAAUUUCACCAUCCUUAUUUUUUUGAUAAAAAUUAAGCACAAGAUAAUGUAGGUCUAUACAAGUUUCAAGCUCAAAAGGCUUUCACUUGAGGGGGUAUGUUAGAGAAUUAAUAUAAAUCAUAUCUUGGAACCUCACCUAACAAUUUAAGCUAUUGGGUUGAGAUGGUUCUUUAACAGUGAACAUCCUUAAGUUUUGUGUUCUACUAUAUUCUGUUUAUUAUAUUUCCAACAUUAUUCUGUAAUAUUUUUGGCAUUUUACUUACUUUUACAUAAUUAGGACUCCAUUUUUGUGAUGAAGUGCUGUGAAUCUUCAGGUAAAUGAUCUUCCUAGGAAGAUAUGGACAACAAAAGGAGAAGAACUGGAGGCGGCAAAGAAGGGUUUCUUUGAAUGCCUUGAGUGAUAUAUUGGAGGGUUUAUUUAUCCUAUGUAAAAGGAGUUAAACAAUGGCCAAACAAAUGAAAAUUGCAACUGGAGUCUCCUCUGUACCACCCGACAAUGGCCAAACAAAUGAAAAUUGCUGUUCUACUACUGUUCUCCACCGACAAAUAGAGAAUUGAAAAUCUCCAGUUUAUUUAUGCUUUAAUAAAACUAAGCCACUCUCAAUUCCAACAACCCUUCCAUCUGCAUUCUCCUGCAUGGAUAUUGAUCCUGUCUUUGUCAAUGGAAGGAGCUGUCCAUCCAAAGAAACCGUAGCCAUUAGGUGCCAUAAAGUCUGUAAACUCUUCUUUGGCUACAUCAAGAACUGCUUUUUAAGUAUCAGAGUCUGAUGUACGGUCACCUCAAUGUUAGUGUUUCUUUGCUUUGGGUAGCUUUUGUAGCCCAUUAUAGUAAUUAUUGAUGAUGUUUUCUAGUAUUGUUUUUUUUUAUUAAUUUUUUUUUAAUAAUAAUAUUAAUAAUGUUAUUAUUAGAUAUUUGGUGUUUUUUUGUUAAGUUCUUGUUUUUUUUUUUUAUUAAAAAUCAUGUCAGUCUUUUUUACUGUCUAAAAAAGUUAAAAAUUAUAUUUAUAGUUCACAAGUCAUGAAUACAUUACCAUCUACAACUUUCCAUGUUAUUUUUUAAAAUGUUUUCAUUGAUGUAUUAAUUUACUAAAUUUUAAUUUUUAUUGUGCUAGAGUCGGAAGAUGCUCUAAAGAACUAGACAUAUUUCCAGGGAUUCCAAGUUGAUUGAUUGAGAUCGCCAGAAGGGAUCUCGUAUUUCGCUAUUUGGAGGUCGUCAGAUGAGACCUCAUAUUUCAUGUUUGUUAAAAGGAAUCGCCAGAUGGGAUUCCAAGUUGAUUAAAGGAGAUCGCCAGAAGGGAUCUUGUAUUUCGCUAUUUGGAGGUCGCCAGAUGGGACCUCAUAUUUCAUAUUUGUUAAAAGGAAUCGCCAGAUGGGAUUCCAAGUUGAGUAAAGGAGAUCGCCAGAAGGGAUCUCGUAUGUCGAUAUUCAUCAAAGGAGGUCGCCAGAUGGGACCUCAUGUUUCAUGUUGGUUAAAAGGAAUUGCCAGAUGGGAUUCCAAGUUUGCUUUAAAGGAGAUCGCCAGAAGGGAUCUUAUUUUUCGAUAUUGGUCAAAAGAGGUCGCUAGAUGGGACGUCAUAUUUCAUUAUUUUUAAAAGGGAAUCGCCAGAUGGGAUUCCAAGUUGAGUAAGCUACAAUUAUAGAUUUUGGUUUAAGGAGGUCGCCAGGUGGGAUUCCAAGUUAAAAGAAAUCACUAGAAGGGGUCUCAGAUGGACUAAAGUUUGAUCAUAGUUUCGACCAGAUCAGUUUCGGGAGUUCAGUUUGGUUUAUCUUUAUAAAACUUACUGCGCAAAACCCCUGCUCCGUAAGCAUUAUAAAGAGGGGGCAUCUGUUGUAAUCCAUUUUCGGGUCCCCACAAAAAUAAAUAAAAAUAAAUAGCCAAAAAGAUCAAAAAAAUAAUAGCAGGCAGAAGCGCUCAGAAGAUGGUUGGAAAAAUUGGUCAAGGAAGUUUAAAAUAUAUAGAUCGGAUUUUUGGCAGUAUAUUCUUGUAUGAUGAGACCCCCGUUGGAAGAGAAAAUUUGAAUUUUUAGGAGAAAAGUCCAAAUUUAGAGGUUUAUGGAUUUAAUUGGAUUUUUAAUUGAAUUUAUAGAGGAUUUGAUUGCAAGAAAAUUGAUUUUUUAAGUCAAUUUGGGCUUUAAUUAGAAGAAAUUAAAGUCCUGGGGCCAAAUUAUAAUUUUUAGGAAUUUAUUAGGUCAAAUCAAGGGCUUAAUUGCAUAAAUAUUGAAGUUUAAUGGCCAAUUAGGGACUUAAUUGAGAAAAUCCGAAACCAGGGACCAAAUUGGAAGAGGAGCGUAAAUAGGGGGCUGUAUUGGAUUGAUCCGAGGGGCCUAAUUGAAUAAAUUAGAAGUUUAUUGAUCAAUUGAGGGUCAAAUUGCAUGAAUCAGAGACAAAGGACCAAAGUGGAAAAGGCGGCCAAAUAUGAGGGCGGCGAUUGAAUUUUUGAAGGAUGCAAUUGAAAUAAACAAAAGAUAAUUGAGGGCUGACUUGUAGAUUGACGCCUGUUGGAGCCCUUUUUGUCAUUUAAGUGAAACGGAGAGUUUUCUCCAAAACGACGUCGUUUCAUACAUUAAAAAAAAAAAAAAAGAGACCGAACGGUGCCGUUUUGAACGGCAUUGUUCCCCUUUCUCCUUCCCCUGGACAUGCAGCAGGGGAAGGUUAUCUUUUCUUCUUUCUUCAACCCCACACGCCAACGCCUGCCACCUCCCGAAACCCCACACACCGUCAUGCACCAAGGGAGUCGCGCCCUGCCAGCCACGCCCACUGCCCAGCCAACCCGGCGCUGUGGCAGGGCAGCCAGCCCUCCUCCCCAUGCACUACAAUAGGUUGGCAAUAGGGACGCGGAGGCGUCCCUAUUGCCCUAUAAAUUCCCCCCACAACGCUAGCGCAAGGAGGAAAAAAAAGAAAGAAAAACGAGGGGAACCGAGAGAGAGAGAGAUAGAUACAAAGAGAAGAGAGAGAACAAACGAGAGAGAGGGAAGAGAAGGAACAAAUGGAAAACAACAAAAGAAAAAAAACCAACCGAGAACAAAGAGAAAGGAAGGAACAGAGAGAACCACCGAAAACAAAAAAAAAAAGAGGAGAGGGGAAGAGGAAGAAAUCUCUCUCUCUCUGCCAUUUGAACAGCAGCACCGUUGUUUGGAGCCGCAACCCCGUGAGCCACAACACCGUCACCGGCCUCCACCGCAGCACCGCCAGCGACGCAGCCAGACCAGCAACGCACCACUUCCUCCACGCCAGGUAAAUUUUCUCCCCCCUUAAUUGUUUGCAUUUUCGUGUUCUUCUUUCCUGCAUGCAGAAUGCACGUUCUGCAUGCAGGAGGGGAGGGGGGAAAUAAUUCCCCCUCCCCUUGCUGUUAUGUCGCUGGGCCAGGUUGAUUCUGGCCCAGCAUUGUUUGGUUUCUUUCUCUGGGCCAGACUGGUUCUGCCCAGCCAUGUGUUUGUGGGCCAGAUUGAUUGUGGCCCAUCCUUGCUGUCUAGGCCAGGCCCGACCCAGACGAACAUAGGAGAUUUUGUUGGGUCGAUAUCGGCCCAAUCCGUUAUAGGCCAAGAUCGGCCCAAUACAUUUUUGGGAUGAGUCCGGCCCAGUAAGUUGGGUCGGCCCAGCCCACCUAAUAUUAUAUAUUAUUUAGUAUAAUGUGUUAUAUUAUUUAUAUAUAUAUAUAUAUAUCCCAAAAAAAAUUAAACAAAUUCUGAAAAAUCUUUAAAAAUAUUGUUGAUUUUUCUGCAUUUGUUUUAUCAAAUGGCUUAAUAUUGGUUUGUAUUUUUAUACCGUAAAGAUACAAAUCCAAUAUUAAAAUACCCGGUUUUCGUCAAAACAUAAGAAAAAUGAAAAAAUAAAAAAGGUUUUGCUUUCAAAAAUUCUGAAAAAUCCUUAAACAAUAUUGUUGACUUUCCUGCAUAUUUUUAACAAAGUGGCUUAAUAUUGGUUUGUAUUUUUAUACCGUAAAGAUACAAACCCAGUAUUAAAAUACCCGGUUUUCGUCAAGACAUCAAAAAAAAAUGUUUUUUUGUUUUAAUGCAUACGGCCUAGUCUCUCCAAAAUAAAAUAAAAAAAUCGUAGCAUCAUAUUUUCAUACAACAAAAAAAAUUUCAAAAAAAAUAUGUGUAUUAGCAUGCAUUUUGGCUUUAACAACAAAUUUGUUAGAACCACGAGAACUAGGCCAAUAUUUCAAAAAUUCUAAAAAAAUCUUUUAGUUUUCUUUUAGUAUUUGGGAUUACGAAUUUAUACGUAAAACGUAUUCCUAAUAUUAAAAAUAAUUUUUUUGUAUAGACAUUAGAACGGUUAGGAUUUUACCCGAUAAGAUAAGGACCUUCUUAUUGAGGAGGACUUUUUUUGAACCAUAUAUAGACCAACAAUUAGAAAUACAAUAACACCUUAGCUUUUAUCAGACAAUCAAACAAUGCAGCUUACCUUAGGUAAGACGUAUUUGGGGUGUUAAUACAUUCCAUUUACACAACCAGUCCCCGUACCCGAUCUCUGAGACCAGUUAGGGUUCCUAGUGACCAAAAUACUAGGUGGCGACUCCCAUUCCAUUCUCUACCAAUAAACGACAAGAAUUCCUUGUCUCCCCAUAUUUUUCAAAUAGAUAUAGAUUUACAUUGUAGAUUUAAAAUGGAAACAACAAUAUAUUUUCGUCGCGACGCCGCACACGUGCGACAGUCCUUAUUUUUAUAAUUUCUAUUUGUUUUUUCCUUAUCAUUUUCUUAUUAAAAAAUUUUAUCUAUCAAAUUUGGUCCUCAUUAUUUUGAUUGUUACUUAUUUUAUUUGAAAUAAUUUACAUCAAUAUUGAUUAUUAUUAUUUUAAUUUGUAAGAUUUGUUCCUCAUUAUUUUAAUAAACUUGAGAAAAAUAAAAUAUUAAUAAGUUAUUUUUCAGUUCAUUUUCCAUGACAUAACCAAACACUGGAAAGUGUUUUCCAACUUAUUUUCCAUUACAUUACCAAGCAACGGAAAAUUCUUUCUCGAAAUUCACUUUUCAAAAAAAAAUUAUUUUCCAGCAAACAAACGGGGCCUAAAUUGACUUGAAAUUAGCAAAGCUAUCCUUAGUUUUCUUCAUGCAAAACCUGAAAAAUUUUCAAAUCCAAGGACACAACCUCGAUUUGAUGUCCAAUUUGAUGAUAUCUCAGCAAAUUCAAAUAGCUUGAAAACAAAUUUUAUAUAUAUAGAAUAAUUGAUUAAUUUCAUGAUUUAGACAAUUUAAUUCAAUCUCUUUAACUAAGAUGGUAGUUAAUUAGGAUCUAAUAUCUACCAAAAAUCUUUUCUAAUGAAUUUGAGUAUUUUACGAUGUUUAAAUAAAUAUUUUUUAAAAAAUACAAUAAUAUGUUAAAAAUAAACUCUAAAAAUAAAUAUAUUAUGAAAAACCUCCCUUUCUAAAAAUUUCAAUUGAUCUUUAUAACUCAUCACCUUCUUUGUCAAAGAGAAAAGAUCAAAGAAAAAUAUCCUCUACUUGAUCAUAGGAGAAAAUAAAAUUUUACACACUUUAAUUAUGUGUUUGGCUGAGCCCAGACAAGUUGAGUCUAACAUAUCAUUAGACCCAUAUAUGAUUGAAAACAGCGUUUGGCUAAACCUAAAAGAAUUAAGUCUAACAGAUUGUCAUACCCAAUAUUUAGGCUCAACACUUGUCCGAGCCUAAGAGAAUUGAGUCUAUCAGACUUAUUAAAAUAUGGGUUUGACAGAUCACCAGGCUCGUAUAUAAUUAGACUUAGUGUUUAACCGAUUUUUAAUUUCACUAAAUAAAAAAUCAAAAUCAAAAUAAAAUAUAUUAGUCUAUCACAAUUAUAUCUUUUUGUUAGUUUCAAAUAACAAAAGUUGUUAAUUUACUACAAUUUCUUCAACCGCAUGAUAUUAUUGAUUAUAAAAAAAAUAUAAGAGUUUUAUAUUAUCGCUCAUCAUGUAAUGUAAGAUAACUAUUCAAAAAAAUACACUUUUCCUUUAAGGAAGUAUCUCUUAAAUUGUGAACCCUAAAUAACAAUAAUUUGAUGUUAAAAAAUGAUUGCAAGUUUUUUAAAAAAAAAAAACAAACGUUUCGACCCCAGAUUUGGUUGUUUCCACAUUCGAGCUUCCCGUGACACUGACACGUGGACCCAUGUCAUAAACAAAUCGUGUAUAAAUUGACUUGAAAUUACCAAAGCUAUCCUUGGUUUUCUUUAGGCAAAACCUGAAAAAGUUUCGAAUCUAAGGACACAACCUCGAUUAGGUUUCAAUAUUUUCAUUUUCUCAAUUUGGUUUCCAAUAUAUCUAUAAAUUAAUUUUUAAUUUGAUGACAUCUCAACAAAUUUAAGUAGCUUAAAAACAAAAUUUAUAUAUUAAAUAAUCGAUUAAUUUUAUUGUUUAGAUAAUUUAAUUCAUUUUAUCUAACUAAGAUAGAUGGUAGCUAGGAUCUAAUAUCUAUAAAAAGUUUUUUUAGUGAAUUUAUGAAUUUUUUUAUGUUUAAAUAAAUUUUUUAAAAAAAAUACAAUAAUAUUUUAAAAAAAAAUUCAAAAAAUAAAUAUACAGUGGAGAAUAGAGACUCAAAACCCUCUCUUCUAAGAAUUUUAAUUAGUCUUUAUAACUCAUCAUCUUUUUGUUAAAGAGAAAAAAUAUUUGACUAGAUUAAAGAAAAAUAUCCUCGAUUUGAUUAGAGGAAAAAAAAAUCUUUAUACAAAUGAAUUUUAUGUUUGGUUUAACCGGCUAUGUUUGUUUCCCGGAAAGUAGUUUCCGGGAAACCAUUUUCCAAACUUUCCUGUGUUUGUUUGCCAUUAGAAAAGUUGGUCAACGGAAAACACUUUCUGGUCAACCGAAAAACACUUUCCGGUCAACGGAAAAUAUUUCAGUCAAAGAAAAAUUUGGCUUGGUUUUCAGGAAAGUGUUUUCCUUUAGCUGUGUUUGUUUUCCGGAAAGUGAUUUCCGGGAAAUCACUUUCCAAAAUUUCUUGUGUUUGUUUGCCAUUAGAAAAGUUGGUCAACAGAAAACACUUUCCAGUAAAAGGAAAAUUUGGCUUGGUUUUCAGGAAAGUGUUUUCCUGAAAAAUUUGGACGGAAAACACUUUCCGGAAGUUGUGAAAAAAUUAGAAAUCUCAUUAUUUGCUGAUUAUAUCAAAUUUAAUCCUCAAACUUUUAAUUGCUAUAUAUAUUUUUUGUUUUGAAUAUUUAUUUUUCAAUUUCAUCUCUUAAAAUUUUAUUUUUAUAUUAACUUCGGUUCUUAUUUUUAUAAUUGUUAUUUGCUUUUUUCUUAUCAAUUUUUUAUUGAAAUUUUUUAUCUACCAAAUUUGGUCCUUAUUCUUUUGAUUGUUACUUAUUUUAUUUGAAAUAAUUUAUGAAAUAUUGAUUAUUAUUAUUUUAAUUUCUUCAUCUUUCAUUUUUUUUUAAUUUUUUAGAUUUGAUCUCUAUUAUUUUGAUCAUUAUUUAUUUUAUUUGAGAUAAUUUAUGAAAUUUUAUUUUUUUUCAAUUUCAUUCUCAUUUAACUUUUUAAUUUGUAAGAUUUGUUUUUCAUUAUUUUAAUAAACUUGGGAAAAAUAAAAUAUUAAUAAGUUAUUUUCCAGCUCAUUUUCCAUGACAUAACCAAACACUGGAAAGUGUUUUCCAACUUAUUUUUCAUUACACUACCAAAUAUCGAAAAAUACUUUCUCGGAAUUCACUUUCCAAAAGGAAACUACUUUCCAGCAAACAAACAGAAAGAAUUAAGUUUAACAAACCAUCAAAUCCAUAUAUAAUUAAGUUCAGUGCCUAACCAAACUUGGAAGAGCUAGUUUGAUAAAUUAUUUUAAGAAAGUAUCUCUUAAAUUAUCAACCCUAAAUAUAAUUACAAGAAAUUAAUAAAGUAAAUGUUUUUUUUUAUAGGAAAGAGAAAUCACUAUUUUCAUGAAAUGAAUAUUACAUAAUUUUAUUAACUAGAAAAUGAUGAAAGGAAUAUAUAAUUUAGAAUCCAUUGAUAUAUAUGUUGAAAAACUAAUUUAGAUGAGAAAUAGAUUGGAUAUCUAAUUAAGAUUUUUCAUAUAAGUUAGGGAUUUAAUUUUACAAGGUUUGCACUUUCCCUUAUAUAUAUGCUCUUAACCAAUUAAUUUACCAACAUAAUAAUUUUAAUUUCUUUUGAUAUAUAUUUUUGAACUAAAAGUAUAAAUAUAAUUCUUGCAUGCAUAUUCGAUAUCAAAUCAUCAACUACAUCUAUGUACCAGCUGGUAACCACAUUAAUAAUAUAAAUCCAUAUACGAGGGCUUAAUUAUUAAAAAAAAACAGAUUAAAGACAAUCCUAAUCAAAGAUAGUUUGUCGGCAAUCCCCUUAAUAAAAUAGAUCGUACAUAAUAUAAUUUCCGGUUAUAAUUUCUCAAAUUUAUGAAUAAGUAUCUCAUUUUGUCAGGGGUAAUUAACUCUGAGAUUUCCUUGUCUAUUUUUCAGGAAUCAUUGACUGGAUGGCGUGAUUUAGUUGAAGACAUAGAAAGGAACAAACAUGAAACUGUGAUAUGGUAUCUAAUUGCCCCCUGGGCAGUACGAGCACAGCACAUUUUCCACUUGUUUAUUUCUACCACAUCUUUCUGCAAGGAUAGAUAUGCUAUAAAGAUUUCUGCUCUCCAUUGUCAAGAGCACAGCCAUUCUGAAAGGCGAGAAAAAACUAUCUGUGAUUCAGUUUUACUCCUUUUCACAACAACAAUGGCUGAUGAGGUGAUACUAGCGCCGGAACAUUUUGAGAGUGAGAAUAGCAUUGGCAGAGAAGGGAGUCAAGUACGAGUACAGUGAUGAGAACUCGGGGGACAAGAGUGCAUCGCUUCUUGAGAUGAACCCAGUCUUCAAGAAGCGCCCACUUCUCAUCCACAAUGGAAGACCAGUCUGUGAGUCCCUGAUUAUUGUUCAGUAUGUUGACGAAGCAUGGAAGGGAAAGGCCCCUCUUCUGCCUUCGGAUCCUUACCAGAGAGCCCAGUCCAGAAUCUGGGCAGAUUUUAUUGACAAGAAGGUACGUACGUAUGCAUGGGAACUGGACUCUGCAAGGUCUUUUGUUCUAGGUGCUGUUUAGUCCGCUUUACAAUAUACUGUGCUAUGAAUCUUAAUGUCAGGUAUAUGAGAUUACUUGGAAGAUAUGGACAACGAAAGGAGAAGAACUGGAGUGAGCAAAAAAGGAUUUUAUCGAGUGCCUCAAGCUGCUGGAGGGAGAGCUCGGAGACAAGCCUUAUUACGGCGGAGAGAAGCUUGGGUAUGUGGAUGUGGCGUUCGUUCCUUUCUACUGCUGGUUUUAUGCCUAUGAGAAAUGUGGAAACUUCAACAUAGAGGCAGAGUGCCCCAAGAUCAUUGCAUGGGCUAAGAGAUGCAUGCAAAAGGAGAGUGUAUCCAAGUCUCUUGAAGACCCCAAAAAGGUGUAUGAGUACAUCUUGGAGCGCAGGAAGACGCUUCGGGUGGAUUAAGAGGAAACACAAAUGCAUCCCUGAGCAGACGAUCAGUAUGAUUUCCUCAUGGUGGAGUUGUUUUUUUCUUUCGAAUAAAGCGAGCUCUUCGUGGCUGUGCCUUCUCUUCUGUUGUUCUAUUAUGAUGCUGGAGCAUGGGAGCACAUCGUUGUGACUCGGCCUGGCAGAGUUUGUGUUGUCUUCGGCUCUUUGGCCUGUCUUGUCGUACUGUUUUCGCUAUUUAUUAAAAUAAUGUGUUGAGAUUAUUUACUGGUAGAUGAUUAUGAUAUCUUUAGAACACGGUUGUUUCAUUAAAAAAUUAUUUAAAAAAUUAUUCCUGGUUUUAUGCCUAUGAGACCAUCGGAAACUUCAACAUAGAGGCCGAGUGUCCGAAGCUGAUUGCUUACUGUAAGAGGUGCUUGCAGAAAGAGACUGUAUCCAAGGCUCUUGAAGAUCCACAAAAGGUCUAUGAUU